CCUUGUCACCCUAUCGGACGACUAGAUAUUAUGAUAUUUCAUUCUUUAUAAGUGAGUUUAAACCUCACCUUAUAAACUAUUGAACGACUGUAUAUUAGGAUAUAUUUCAUUAUUUAUAAGUGAGUGCAAAUAUUAUCUUAUAAAUUAUCUGACGACUAGAUAUUAAGGUUUUUUUUUUUUUAUAAAUAGAUGCAAACCUGUUGAUUUGAUGGGAUUGAGUUAAGUUUAAAGUUUAUUUUUUAUUUUUUAUAUAAAAGUUGAUGAUUAAACACUUUAUUCUACACUUUUGUUUAUAUAAAAGUUGAUGAUUAAUUACUAAAAAGUUUGUAGCUUUGUUUGAAUUAUUACGCGAGAUGGGCACAUGGGUUCGUGCUGAUAAGCCCUUUUCUUCCGAAAUUGGAUAUUGAUUUGGUCAAUUUCUGAAUUGAUAGUUUGCGCAAAGUUAGCGAUGAAAUUGAAACCUUUGUGUGAAGCUUAUACUAAAAACGUGUCUAACUUUGCCUUCUACCACACCCAAUGUGAAAACCAAGUAUUAGUUCAUUUUAUUUGAAAAAGUGGCAAAAGGAAAAGUUGGAGUAAACCUAAAUAUAAUUUAUUAAAAUAAAAUUUAAAUCUAUUUCUUAUUUGCGAAAAAAUAUAUUUGUGAAUGAUUUUGAUAAUAGAUGACCUGAUAAGUUCACCAAAUACUUAUUAAGAUAGACUUUAAAUAACUCUGAUAUAAUAUUAAAAUGUGCACUUUAAACCUAACUUAACUUCAUAAUUUAUGAAAUAAGAUUUAUUUUUAUUUAUAAAAAAUAAAAUAUUUUUCUCUAACAUAGUAAAUCAAAGUAAAAAGGAAAAUUUGGAAAAAAAUGUGAAAUAGAUAAGGUAGUAGAUAGAGGUGGGCCCCGAGGGGUAAUGUGGUAAAAAAAGGUAGGCCCGGGGGCAUUAAUGUAAAAAAAAACAGAAAAAGAGUGCCGUUGUGAUGGGCAUGGUGACGUGGCUAAUACCCUCCUUAAUCCUCUUGGAUUAAAGUGUUAAACAAGAACACGCCAAAUAAACCCAUUCCAUUAUAAACCCAAACACGCGCUUCGCAAUGCCAUUUCUGAGGAACUCUCUCUCUCUAUUCUUCUCUCUUACACACACAAACACACACACUUUAUCUCUCUAAAAAAAACUCAAAAAAGAAAAAAAACGAAACUCUCGCAGCUGAGUCCACUCGCUGGGACGAUUCUCCUUUGAAUCUUUUCGAAUUACACUUUUCCGUUUCCCUUCGUUGAUUGUAUAUACCACCGAUCACCGAUCACCGAUCACCGAUUACCGAUUACGAUUGUUUCUGUAAUUAUUAUUAUUAUUAUUGUUUUUGUGGUUGCGAUUUUAUUGUGUGCUGCGUUGUUCGUACUGUACGACGUCGUUGGAGGUUUCAUCGCCGUCGCGCUGGUACGGAGAGAUUGUUGUUGGUGGUGGUGCGUGGCGGUGUCGUUGAAGGAUGGCGGCCGGAGUGGAGUUGUCCGAUGGAAGAGGCGGCGGAGGACUUGUGAUGGAAAUUCCGGAGGAGUCGUUCUCGUCGCCGACGACGUUGCCGAAGAGGCUCCGGCGACGGCUGCGUGGCGCGGAGUGCAAGUCUCCGAGCACGGUGGAGAAAAUCGAAGCGAAGCUCCGCGACGCUGAUCUUCGCAGACAGGUGUCCUUACUGUAUAUAUUUUUUUUUCCGUUCUGAAACAGUGUGUUUGUUUGGUUGGUGAGAAAGUUUAGGGUCUUGGAAUUGAAGUUAGAAAUGGUUUUCACUUUUCUGUUUCUUGGUUUUUUUUUUGGCCCCUUGCUUAUUUUUUAACCACGUGUAAUUAGUUAUUAAUUAUUAUCUAUUAUUUUAAUAAUUUAAUUAGUUUGUAAUGAACCUGAUGUUCUGGAAGAUAAGUGAGUGCGUAGAGGUUAAUAUUAUUUGAGACUUUUUAUUUUGGGUUUGUAUACAAAAAUUAUUUACUUUACUCGAUUCAUCGGAUUGUGGAAAGAGUUAUGUGGUUCGUUUGUCUCUGCUCUGUCGAUUAAUUGUAAUUGUUGUCGUGAAUUUUUUUUUCUUCGUUUUCUAGCUUUAUCUUCAAGGUUGUUGUGUUAGGUAGGAUACCAGAGGCUUCUUCUUUUCUAUUCGAAUUUUGAUUCGCACUCCUUUGAUGGUGGUACUUUUUUUUCAAAUUUCACAUGGGUCUCUUUUUCCUGAUAACUUUCCUUUUCGUUAGUACUUUGUAUGGGUUGUAAGUUUUUUAGGUUUCGUCAUUACCGUUGAUUGGAGUCCUAAUUAUGCUUUGUAACAUACUAUGGUUUUCUCAUUCGUGAGUAUCUUGUGCCCAUACUGUUUUAUUCAUACUUGGCGAAGCCAAUUAUAGUUACCGUUUCUUUCCUGACGUCCUAUUCUCUGUUUCGUUUUCUUUCCUUGUUACGUGUCUAACUGUUCUUAUUUUGUUUUUCUUGCCUCUGAUCAGAGUUUCUAAAUUUUUAGUUUUAAGAUCCUUUGUUGGAUGAGAGUUUCUCUCUAUUUAUCAAACUUCUCUUGGUUGUAGAAAUACUACGAGAAACUCUCAAGUAAGGCACGUGCAAAGCCAAGAAGCCCGUCAAGGUGUUCAUCCCAGGAAGAUGAUCUUGGUCAGAGACUAGAAGCAAAACUGCAGGCUGCUGAACAGAAGAGGUGGGUUUUCCCGAGGUUGUCUUGUAAAUAUGUUUUUUUAUAUAUGCUCGUGUUAUAUUAGUGUUUUUUUUUGUUGCCAACGACCAGGGUGUUUUUGUUGUUUCAUGCAGUAAAAACCACUUUGCUUAAAAAAUUACCUUUCUUGAUCAUUCAUCAGCUAUAAGCAACAUUUGGAGUGAUUCACACUUGUAAAUUUUAAGUUUAAACUGUGAGCUAGCAUUUAUAUGUAUUUUUUUUUUCUGAAAUUUCAGGAGCUUUCUCUCCCUAGUUUCUAGAAAAAACACUUUGACUGAUUUUUGUUUUGUUUUUUCUUUUCUCAUAAAACUCAUCCAUUUAUCAUAAAAUAUUUGACAUUUGUUUUUAAUAUAAAAACUUUUCUAAUAAAAAAACUUAGAUAAAUGGGCCUGAUUCCAAUCGUAAAAUGGUAAUAUUGGUGUUGUUGGAAUUGGAUUGUCAGUCCUUGGAGUUACCUUUUGUUUUUUAACAAACUACAUUUAUUUGGGUAGAUUAAUUACUCCAUUUAUUUAUCAAGCCUGUAUUAUUUGUGUUACAUCCUUCUACCGGGGAACUUUAUAUAAUUUAUAAAUUUGAUUAUCAUGCAGUUAAACAUUAUGAUCUUUAUUUCUGAUAUUUUUUCUAUUUCAAUCUUGAUUGGUAAUUGCGAAUCUAAUUAGAAAACAAUUUCCUUAUGUUCAGGAAAAGUUAAACAUUUAAUUUUAUUUCAUCAAACAUCCAAUUCGUACUAUUUUGUUAUUUCAUUGAUAAUUUUAAGUUUGUUUCUUAAUUCUGAAAGUUUGCUUCCACCAUUAACUAUUUAACAUGAUUUUAGCAACUGCCCCCCAAUGAUUUAUUUUCAAAUUAUUUGACAUCCUUUAUUAUUUGUAAAUUAUUUACUCAGGUUGAGCAUCUUGACUAAGGCCCAAAUGCGUUUAGCAAGACUGGAUGAAUUGCGUCAAGCAGCAAAAAAUGGAGUUGAAAUGCGCUAUGAGAAUGAACGUGUGAAGCUUGGAACAAAAGUUGAGUCACGUGUUCAGCAGGCAGAGGCUAAUAGGAUGCUUAUCCUCAAGGCUCUUAGGCAAAGAAGGGCUUCUCUUAGAGAAAGGUCAUCUCAAACAUUGAUGAGAAGGAUGGCUCGAGAAAGCAAAUAUAAAGAGUGUGUACGUGCUGCAAUUCACCAAAAACGAGCUGCUGCUGAAAUGAAACGACUUGGGUUGCUAGAAGCUGAGAAAAAGAGGGCACAGGCUCGGGUCUCGCAGGUGAUACAUGUGGCAAAGUCAGUAUCUCACCAGCGUGAGAUUGAGAGGAGGAAAAAGAAGGAUGAGUUGGAAGAUCGAUUGCAAAGGGUAUGGUGUUCACUUGAAGCUCCUUUUCUUUUCUUUUUCUUUUUCCUUCUUUCAGAGUAAGGGGGUGUUUAAUUUCUGGUGGUCCUCAGUGCACUUGUUUUGUUAUUAAGUCUCUGAAUUUAUAUUGGUUAGGCAAGAAGACAAAGAGCUGAAUAUCUCAGGCAGAGGGGAAGACUGCGUGGCUAUGCGCAUGAGAAUCGGAAUAGAAUGUCAAAGCAAGCAGAAUAUCUUUCCAGAAAACUAGCAAGGUUUAUUUGCAUUUAAAUAUUGAUAUAUCUUUGUGAGGUCAUGUAGAAAGCUUUACUGCUAUCGCUGUCUGACGUGGACAUUUGGAAUCUUAUCACUGUCUUACACAGUUGUUAUUUUGAACUGGAUAAAUUUAAUGUAGGAUAAAUUUAGUAUUUGAAGUUUUUCCUCCAUCAGGAAGAUGUCUUAAAGGAUGUCCUAACUUUAUUUUCUUACUGAAGGUGCUGGAGGCGGUUCCUUAGGCAAAAGAGAACAACGUUCACCUUGACAAAAGCAUAUGAUGUGCUGGGCAUUAAUGAGAAAUCUGUGAAGUCAAUGCCAUUUGAGCAGCUUGCUCUUCUGAUUGAAUCAGCUUCUACCCUUCAGACUGUGAAAACUUUACUUGACCGGUUUGAGAGCCGCCUCAAAGUGUCUACAGCAGUUGCUCCUGCCAAUAGUUUGCAUAGCUUGGACAACAUUGAUCACCUUCUUAAACGAGUUGCUUCCCCCAAGAAAAGGGCUACUCCCAGGAGAUCUGUGAGAAGCAGAGGGACAAUGAAAGUUGAUUCAGUCAGAGAGUCAAACAAUAGCUUAGCUAGGUCAUCAAGGUAUCCUGUGAGAGUUGUUCUUUGUGCUUAUAUGAUAUUGGGUCAUCCAGAUGCAGUGUUCAGUGGAAUGGGAGAACGUGAGAUUGCUCUAGCCAAAGCUGCACAAGAGUGUGUUCAAAAGUUUGAGCUGUUGAUAAAGAUAGUAUUAGAUGGACCAGUACAGAAUUCUGACGAAGAGUCUGUCUCAGCAGCCAUGAAGCGUUGUACCUUCAGAUCUCAGCUUGCUGCUUUCGAUAAAGCUUGGUGCUCAUACUUGAAUUGUUUUGUGGUAUGGAAGGUUAAGGAUGCUCGAUCACUGGAGGAGGAUUUGGUAAGAGCAGCUUGCCAGCUUGAAGCUUCUAUGAUUCAAACUUGCAAGUUAACUCCAGAAGGAGCUGGUAGUGAUAAGCUUAGUCAUGAUAUGAAAGCUAUUCUGCGUCAGGUAAUGUUCCACAUCAAUAGUUGAGUUUCUUUGUGAAUUAUAUCUGUUGUUUAUGAACAUUCUUUAUCAGAACAUUGAUGAUUUUAAAAACUGACUGUAGUAUAUUGAAGACUGCAAUAUGGAUAGAUAGAUAACGUUGGAGAUCCCUUAUCGACUAGAAAUAUGGCUAAUUCAUAGUAUAUAAAUGGAAUCAAUCCUCACCUUACAAGCUGGUUUUGUAAGGAUGAGUUAGUCUUAAACUCACUUUUUAAUAUAUACAAAUCUUGGUUCUUAUUUAAGUACAAUUUUUCACUUGCCUACCCUUUUCAAACAAUUUUUCCUCAUGUUCAUCGACAUAAUCCGAUGAGUAUAUCCAAACUUAUAUGUGUUCUUCCCCUGAAUGUUGUCUUAUCUUUGCACCGAAGCUUGGCUUUAUCUUUCUUUUUGCAAUUAUCACUUGCUUACCCCCUUUUCAAACAAUGUUUCCUCAUCAUGUUCAUCGACAUAAUCCGAUGAGGAUAUCCAAACUUAUGUGUUCUUCCCCUGAAUGUUGUCUUAUCUUUGCACCGAUGCUUGGCUUUAUCUUUCUUUUUGCAAUUAAUGCAGGUCUCUGAAGAUCAAAAACUUUUGAGAGAAAAGGUGCAGCACCUGAGUGGAGAUGCUGGUAUUCUGCGAAUGGAAUCUGCACUCUCUGAAACAAGAUCUAGAUACUUUGGAGUGCAGGAUGACGAAAGUCCUGUGAGGUCUCCAAUGAUUCCUUCUGUGACUGCAAGCCCAACUCCACUCUCUUCUGUCACCCACUCAAGUGAAAGAAAUAUUUCAGAUGAGGGUAGUAAUCAUAGGACAAGCCGAGUAGUUCGCUCCCUCUUUAAGGAGACAAAUACUUCUCCUGGAGAGUCUAGCUUCUCUGCUCCCAGAACCAGUUCAGAUAGUCAGCUCGGCCAUUCCUCUGAAAAGCUACUGGCAGAUAAUGAGGUUCUUGUAAAUGAAUUUCUGCACGACAAUCAGUAUAGUGUAACUGAUGGUCUUGAUGUCUCUGAUCACAUUCAAAACAGCAUUGAGGUCAGUACAUUGAGGUUUGUAUAAAUAUGACCAUUGAAUUAAUGGCUUAUUUGGAUGAAGCUGUAGUUUGAGGCUCUUCCUAUGGCUUUUUGAUGUUGAUCUGCUCAUAUAUAAUCCCACCAACUACAAUAUGUAUGUGUAAUCUAGAAUCUGUUGGGAGUUAUUGCCAAUAUUAGUAUACAAAGAGGUGCUUAUAAUUUUAAAUUUGCUGAUGUCUGGUGAUGUUAUUUUGAAUUCUGAUUCGACCAUUUUUUUUAUCUUCCAGGGGAAAAUAAAACAAGCAAUGGAGAAGGCCUUUUGGGAUGGUAUCAUGGAAUCUGUUAAGGGGGACCAGCCGAACUAUGACCGGAUUGUUCAACUCAUGGGAGAGGUUAGGGAUGAAAUUUGUCAAAUGGCUCCAAAAAGCUGGAAGGAGGAUAUUUUUUCUGCCAUUGAUUUAGAAAUUCUUUCUCAGGUAGCUUCUAUAUUCUCUUCUUGCAGCCUGUGAUGGCUAUUAGAUGCGUGAUUGGCGUAUACCUGAUAAUAUUUUCUCUUUUCUGACAUCUUCUGCAUAUAUGAAGGUGCUGAAAUCGGGUAACCUGGAUGUUGAUUAUCUUGGGAAAAUUCUGGAGUUUUCACUCGUGAGUUUGCAGAAGCUAUCUGCUCCAGCCAAUGAGGAGAUGAUGAAGGCCACACACAAGAAACUAUUUCAUGAAUUGGGCGAAAUAUGUCAGUCAAGGGAUGGUUCAAACAAUUCUUGUGUUGUAGCCUUGGUGAAGGGCUUGCAAUUUGUCUUCGGGCAGAUUCAGGUUUGUUUGUUUGUUUAGCCUUCUUUUAUAUUUGUCUCUUUGCUUAAUUUUAUCUCUAACUAAAAUUUACUCGGUCAAUAUGGCAAUUUUUUUCAUCAGAUUGGUAAUUAUUAAUUAUGGAUGCUUUUCUGAAAGCAUUCAGGACCACUGCUGUGUUAAGCAAUUAAAUUUUACCUGAUCAAUACAUUCAUGUUUUUCCGUUUCUUUAUUAAUUACGAAUUUUGGAUGCUUCUAAUGUAAUAAAUUCUCUGAAAUCACUUGAAUACAACUGCUUUCAAGUGUAGUUGUUAGGAGUUAGGUGUAAUGCAUUAAAUAGCUUGAGAUGUGUUGCAAUUUGUUAGCCAUGAAAAUAAGCAUAAUCUUUCUAUCAAUGUUUCUUUGUUUGCAAGUUGUUCUAGAUUAUUAUGAUCUUCUGGAAGCUCGAAACCAUAUUUUUAGGGUACUUUUUCCAUUGAACUUACCGACUUUGGAUCUUGUUGUGUGGACUUUAUUUUGAAGAUAUUCAGCAUGGACAUUUUGUAGCUUGUAAAUGUCUUACUUUGGUUUUAUAAUGUGACAUGAUUAAUUCUUAUGACAGAUUCUUAAGAAAGAGAUAAGCAAAGCACGAAUAAGGUUAAUGGAGUCUUCGGUGAAGGGGUCUGCUGGUCUCGACUACCUCAGGAAUGCCUUCGCUAACAAAUAUGGAUCUCCUUCUGAUUCCAAUACCUCUAUUCCUUCCACACUGAGAUGGAUUUCGUCUGUUUGGAAUUGCAAAGAUCAGGAAUGGGAAGAAUAUGUGAGAUGCUCGGCAGCAUUGGCCUCUAAUUCAUCCCAAGAAUUGCUUCCUUCAACUACUCUCAGAACUGGGGGGAAUAUUUUACUCAAAACAACUGGCAGCCCGAUGUCCCUUUCACUUGAUGGUGCCAAUACUAAAGGUUCUAAAUUGAAAAACUUUGAUUUUCUAUCCUUCAAGUGACUUUAACGAUGUUUACUCUCUACUUGAAGCAAACACUUGUUUUGAUACCUACUUGUAUAUGUUAUUUGAUCAGGUGAUGAACAGCCAGAAUGCAAAGGAGAACCUGUUGAUCUGGUUGUGAGACUUGGCUUGUUAAAAUUAGUAAGUGGAAUAUCUGGUUUGACUCAAGAUGAUCUACCAGAAACUUUAUCUCUUAACUUCUCAAGGCUGAGAGCUGUUCAGGCUCAAAUUCAGAAGAUUAUUGUGAUUUCCACAAGGUAAAACAUAUUUGUGCUGAGAUUUCUUCACUCUCUUAACUGAAUAAUUUAUGCUGGUGACAAUAAUAUAUUAGAUACCAAUUUAAAAAUUAUUUAUCAAUAAUAAAAACUAAUUUAGAAACCAAUAAUUUUUCUAGUCUCUAAAAUAAUAUCUAAUUUAGUCAAUAUAGCUACUAAUUAUUUUUUUUGUCUAAAAAAUUAAUGAUUUUCUUGUAAUGUUACCUUGUGCAUAUAUUUUACUAAUAUCAUCUAUAUUUUGGGAAUGGCAGCAUUCUUAUUCGCAGACAGAUUGUGGUGAGUGAAAAGACAGUUGGUAGCCCUGCAGAAAUGGAAAACAUAGUGUCUAAGUGUGGUGCAGAACUGUUGGACCUCCUAGAGCGCGUAGAAGAUGCUGAUAUAAACGACAUAGUAGAAGUGAUCUGCAAUUUGCCAAAAAGAGAGGGUGAAGAAGAAGAAGAAGAAGAAGCAGGGAAAGUUGAGUCAAGAAAGAUGGUUGCUGGUAGGAUGUUAGGAAAGAGCCUACAAAGUGGGGAUGCUGUGUUUGAGAAGGUAUCAAAUGCUGUCUACACAGCUUUUCGUGGGGUAGUCCUUGGGGGAAGUGGGGCCCGUGGGAGGAAAUUAGCAGAAAUGGCUCUGACCAAAGUUGGGGCUGCUUUUCUGAGUGAGAAAGUAGUGGAAGCUGGUGGUGUUUUGAUGGUGGUAGCCAGUAUUUCAAUUGGUGUUCAUGGGCCAUGGUAUAAAUAUUUGGCCGAUAACAUCUGAUCUGUGAUAUAUUUGGUAAGUACAUUCAUCAUAAUAAUCACACACACACACACGUUUGUACAUAGGAGUGUGUAAAGUUGUAAGCUGUGUAUGUUAUCUUAGGUUUGUGACAUUGUUUGUAGUAGAAUUCUUUUAAUGUAACUCACACAAAUGUAUAUAUGUCUCUAUCUCAAUCUUUUUAACAUUAAAUUGCUAAUAUAUUGGAUCUUUAACUUCUUAUUCUAUAUCUCAUAUCUCUAUUAUACAAAUCUAUGAAUUAUAUAAAAUGAUAAUAAAGAUUUUUUUAUGUACAAGUAUAUUUUAGUUAUUUUAAUUUUUUUAAUAAUUUUUUUAUAGUUGGUUUAAAAUGAUUUUGUUCUUUAUUUUUAUAAUCAUAAAAUAAAAAUUUAUACAAUAAAUUUGAGUAUUUUUUAUUUUUAAAAUUAUGUUAGAAAUAUAUUAGAAUCGUGAGAAAUUCAAUAAAUAUUUUUUUAAUAAGAUACUCUAUACAUGUCUAUUGGUAUUUAACAAGUCUCAUAUUGGUUACUAUCAAAAAUUUUACUCUACUUGCAAUGCUUUCAAAAUCAAAUUUACUAAUUUUGCAAUUUGACAAUUUUUACAGGUCCUUUAUACCUAUGUAAGAAAAUAAUUAUUUUGUGUAACGUUAUUUAGUUAUACGAUUUAUUAUUUAAUUUUAGAAAUGAUGCGAUUUUAGCCACUAAGACUGGAAUAAAAAUUAGUGACUUCUUCACAUUAAAUUUUAAUGUAAAUAAGAAUAAGUAGAUAUUUAGGACCCACAAUAGAAUAAGAGAGAAUAAAGGAGGAGAAAAAAUGUGAGAAUUGUUUAUGACGUUUAUUGUUGAUAGAUUAAAUAUUCAUCUACAAAAAGAAUUUUAAUGGAUAAAUUUGCUUAAUUUUUUUAUGGAUUAAAGUAGACUAAUGAAUGAAACUUUUUGUUCUAUCUAUUAUGAUUCAAAUUAAAAUUUAUAUAAUAAUCUAUUUUGGCAAUUCUACAACUAGCCAAUGAGUAUAUGACUCUCCUUAUAAGACUCUGAACGUUAAAUAUAGGUUUUCGCUUUCUAGACUGACCAAAAUAUUCCAAUGUGUUUCAUUCUUUAUGAUCAGUUAUAAGACUAAUUUUAAAAUAAUAUAUUCUAUCUGAAUCAAACUGAAUCAUUUUAAAAUAAUAUAUAAUAUUUAAAAUUAAAACACAAAUUUAUAUAUUAUAUUAUAAAUUAUAUAAACUCACAAACACAAAUAUAUAUAUAUAUAUAUAUAUAUAUUUUUAGUAAAUAGAUAUUUCUUUCAAAAUAAUUUGUUCAUAUUUUUAUAAUUAUAAUAAUAAUUUAUAUAUAAAUUUAAAUUUUAAAAAAAUUAAUAUAAUUUUUUAUUUUAAAAUUGUAUUAAAAUUAUUCUAAAAUUAUCAAAAAUAUAUAAAUAUUUUUUAAAUUAUACAUUUCGCCGAUCCAUAUUUUACUAGUAUUCUUGUUGAUAUUUAAUACCUAUGAUUGAUACAAACACACUAUUUAAUAAAUAUCUCAUGACAAAAAAACCUUGACCAAUUUUAGAUGUCACUUUUACAAUUUCACUAAUUUUUACAAGUAAAAAUGCCAAAGGUAUCCACUGAUUUCAGUAAAUUAAAUUCGCACCUCUUCCCCAGCACAAGUUAGUCUUUACAAGUUUUAUGGUGGUUGUAGAAAUACAAGUAAUGCAGAGUUUUCCUGGAUGAUCUGCGUAUAAUAGUUAUCUCCCACUCAUGCGAUGGAAACCAUAAAUUACAACGAGUUUGAUAUACAUAAUCCCAAGGGGCAUGACAAUAAUAUGAUUGUCAUAUAUCCUUUCAAGAUGUUGUCCAUUGAGGUAGUACUCUCCCAUCACCAUUUUUACAAGUCACUUGAUCUAUUGCAUCAAUUUCUAUGAGGUCAAAAUCUAGGUCUUCGUCAUGGCAUCCAUGAAAAUAAUCUUCAUCUGCAGAAUCAUAUAUCACAGCUUUUCUAUUUUGUCUCUUUAUAGUCCUUUUUUUAGAACGACCUGUGCUAUUGGUGAGGGCUUCUUCAUCAGCAUCUGCAUCUGGAUCUCCAUCUCGUCUCCUCUUGGCAGAAUCUGCACUGCCUUUGCUGCCGCUACUGCCUUUGUCCAACUUGUAAUAUUCAUUUAUGGUAUUCUCAAUGGUUUCCAGUAUCUUAUCCCCAUACUUGCUUACCUUUGCCCUGUGUUAAACUAAAUUAAUCAAUGCCUAUUCACUAACAAGGAGACGACUAUUCUCAGAAGGAACUUACUUGCCAAUGCCAUUGAUAUCUAGGAGUUCUUCUUUUGUUCUUGGCACUCUCUUGCUUAUCUGCUGCAACGUGGCAUUACUGAAUAGAAACAACAGCUUAUCAGAUGCCUUUAUCAUGUAAUAAAGCGGAAAUGGAUUUAUUCUGCAAAUUUUAAUUUUCAAUUGCAUUCUUUAUAAUGCUACCCAAGAGUAAAUGAAUCUUAAAUGGAGACAUUGUUACUGGUAUUACAAAAAGAAAAUGUCUAAUAUAUUACCCAAAUAUGUGGUAAGCAAAAACACUGUCUCCAGCUUCUUUAACAAGAGUUGUCCUCAACAUACGCAGAGCAGUGUAUAACUUGGCUGAAAGAUUCUGAAGCAGAUUUGGCUUUAAAUAUAAUUCAAAAGCAGUUAGAUAUUUCAUCAAGCGAACUGAAAAAUAACCCAUUUUAUACCAAAUCCACUUCAGUUUGAGGUUGAGGAGUGUCAAUUGGAAAAACAUUCUGCUUUCCAGAUGUCAAAGAACCCUUGGCUGGAGUUGCAUCAGAUUUGCCUGGUUUUGUUGCCUUUACAGACGAUGGAAAUCUACAGUAGUUGAAAAAUUCCACUGAGUAUAAUAUGAACAGAGAAAAACAAGCGUGUAUUGUGAACUUGAAGCCAGAGAAGGUUUACGCAAAGAUUCAAGUGAAAUCAAUCUCAUUUAUAAAAGUCCAGUUCAACUUCACAAAAUUGAAUUGUAAGAUGAGAUUUAUUAUAUAGUGUAAAUUAACCUUAUCUUUAAUCGAUGUAGGAUUUUCAAUCCCUUCUAAUUCAAAAAUUUAAGCAAGAAAUAACUUUUAAUGAGAUUGACAAACCUCAAUAUAAUUCUGUGCCCAGCAAACAGAUUACAGACCUUGGGCUCAUUUACCUGAAAUUUUUUGAAUGCUUUAGAAAACUUACAGUUAUAGAAGUUAAUUAUGUUAACUAACAUUGAGAACAGUCAUUUGAAGCACAAUGAGCAAAUAUUUAAACCGUGGUUAAACAGCAGUAUAUAACAUGUUCACUGAUACCUUCAAUAUGGAUGAUAUCGAUCCAUAAAAAUCACUUUUCUUUACUUCUUCCACAAGAAUAUCCUCGACAACAAGAUGAUGCAAUAUGCGGGAAGCCUCACCCUUAGCUAGAUGCUUUCCAGCAGCAUGAAGGCUCACUGUCUCGUGCCGAUUUUUCUUGACCUUGUUUUGACGUUAGAAGUACAUGAUUAAGAAAAGGAGCGGCUAUCAAGAAUAAUAAUAUAUUGGAAAGAAUGAAAAAGAAAGAAAACAAAAUAAAUGCAUAUAGGCAUACCAUUUGGCUAAAGGAACCACGAUAAACUUCUAAUAUAUGAGAUGAUGAGAACCUCUGUCCAGUUAGCUUAACAAGUUCAACCUAAGCAUAAGACAACAACAAAGUAAUUGAAACUGCGAACGAGAGGACUCAAAUAUUACAUUCUAAUAGAACUUCAAUAAAUGGAGGGAUGAAAAAGUAUGUUGAUAGAAAUUGCUUCCAAACCAAUUGCUUUGCUAUCUCCGUGACAUCCUUCUCAAUGAAAUUUGUGAUCUUCAAGCAAUUAUCACACGUUUUGUGACAAGUUGAAGAAUUGAACUUCUCUCCAAAAUGAACAAGCUGCAGAAGGCGCCGGCAAUCAACAUCAUUUUCACAAUAACUAACCUGAGGCAGUUCAAGACAAAUAUUUAGUGAUGUAAUAAUAAUAAUAAUAAUAAUAAUAAUUAGAAUCUCAGUCUUUUUAAAAUUACCAUUCGCAUGAGGUUUUCAGUGUUUGUUUCUAGUAUGCUUCCUGGAUUUAUCAUAUUUGAACGGUUGUAUCCAGAUGUCAGGGGACUUUGCUCUAUUGCUCCUCCUUGACUUAUCAUAUGCUUGACUCGUAUCUGUAAAUAUGAAAUGCAAUUAUACAUAAGCAAUAAAGGGAGGUGAGUAAGGAAAUAGGAUCUCAGUCAUCACUCGUUUCAUUUGAUUUCCAGUAAUAUGAAAGCUAACUUAGGUUCAAGAAACAUACAAAUUAAUAUAGAAAAGCAAAAGGGUUGUAAUUGAUACUAACAUAAUCACUAUAGCUAUAAUAUAAUACACAGGAUGAACGUUGACCAUCUCUACCAGCUCGGCCACAUUCCUGAAAAGGAAAUAAGUAAGCACGUAAACCAACAGAAGCAAAACCUAUAUACCUAACAUUAUUUUGAUCUUCUGCCAGUACCUGAUGAUAGCCUUCAAUAGAUUUUGGGAGAGAAUGGUGGAUUACAAAGCGGACAUCAGGUUUAUUAAUACCUGAAAUGCCAAGCAUAAAAUAUGAUCCCAUAUAAUUAAUCAAUGCAAUAGGCAGUAGUAAGGAAGUAAAUAUACCCAUUCCAAAUGCUACAGUAGCACAAAUUAUAUUAAUUUCAUCUUUGCUCCACUGAUUUUGAACAAAGGCACGUUGAGGAGGAUCCAUGCUACCAUGAUAAAAUGCACAUUUAUGUCCACAUUCCUGAACAACGAAUAGAAAUCAGCCUCCACAUUUAUUUAUUUUUCAUUAAAAAAUUCAUUCAGCUUGUUAAAACUGCGCUCAAUGUGCAGGAAAGUCACCAGAUUGCACUUAUGCUUUUAUCAAAUACCCAUAUCUUCAUGCAGAAACAGCAAACAGAGCAAACAGCAUGAAACAUGACGAAAAAAGAAAGCAAAGCAAGAGCAAGCUAAAAAUUCACAGGCAAUUCAACAUAUUAUACUUUGUAGUCAAAUGUACAAAUAUGAAAUAAUGAGAAGAACUAACCUGUAAAUUGCCAGCGACCUUUUCACAGUCCAUUCUUGAAAGACAAUAGAUAAUGCCACAUUCAUCAAAGUGAUUCUCUCUAAUGAAUUUGUCAAUGUCCUCCAAACACUUUUUGGUCUUGGGGACAACAGAAUACCUGCAAUGUUGAAAAUGAACAUGAUUCAUCCAUUGAAGGUUUAGCAAGAAGUCAAUUCUUCAUUUAACACACCAUAAGUUUGGGCGAUUAAAACUUUGCCGAAAAAUAACGCAGUUAACAAGACCAAGUGCUUGCACGACAUCUUCUUUUACACUAGCAGUUGCUGUAGCUGUUAAAGCUAAAACUGGAGUAUUUGGGAAUUUCUGUUUCAAUAUACCAAGUCCCUGGUGAAAUUAAGAGUAACAGUUAAAAUAUAAACUAUAUUAUCAUUGAUUUGCAUCAACUAUAUUAUAUAGCUCCAACCUGAUAAUCUGGUCUAAAAUCAUGCCCCCAUUGGCUCACACAGUGAGCCUCAUCAAUUACAAUCCUUGCAAGCAACUCGCGAAAAUGUAAAUUCUCUAAGUGUCUCAAAAGAUUAUCACUUCUGCAGUCGAAGUAAAAAAAUAGCAUUAUGAAAAAAAUGAAGAAUAUGGUUAAGUUAAAAAAUUUCAUUGAAUACAACAGCUAUCAAUAAUGACACUUACUUGACAACCUUUUCAGGUGUCACAUAUAAUAACUUGUAUUUACAGUAAUCAGAAGUAAGUUCUCGGAGGAUUUCCUGCUGUUCAGUCCAUUCCAUAUUGGCACUUAAGUAAGUAGCUGGUAUAUUUGCCUGUAUGCCAAGCCAACAGGACCAAACAAACAUAUAUCUAUCAGAAAAACAAAGCCAAAAGGGAAAGCAUAGAAGUUACAAAAUCAGUAAUACCUGCAAUAAGUGCAUUAUUUGAUCCUGAAUAAGGGACACAAGGGGAGAGAUUACUAAUGUUAUACCUUGACAAAUAAGAGCCGGUAACUGCAAGACAAGACGGUCCAAAGUUGUAAGGUUACAAUAUUUGGUAAAAUCUAGACAAAUAUCAAUAAAACCAACUAAAUGAGAAAGGGAAAAAGGCCAUAACUCAAAAAGGUCUAUUGCAAGAUUGUACUACCUGAUAGGUCAGACUCUUUCCACCACCAGUGGGCAUCAGAACAAAAACAUCACAUCCACUCAUUGUGGCAUUGAUGACCUCUCUUUGAUUGGGGCGAAAGGAAUGAUUUCCAAAUACUUUUUUAUUAUUAACCUAUGCAUAAAUAAAAAAUUUAUUAAGAUGAGUUACAUUCAGUGGAAAGUGACAAUAAUUCAGUUAAAUACCUCUAACUCUUUUGUCCAAGAAAAAUCAUGGCUGCUCCAGCGUUUGUCUCCAGAACCUUCAAUGUAAUUGACUUCAAUAAUCUUUGGGAUGAAGGCCUCUCGCUCCACCGGACCAGAUAAUGUGCUAUACUUGUCUAUAGAAAAAGAUGGAAGAGACUGGAAUGAUGAACCAAAUGUCCCGUCACCCAUAUAAGCCUGGGCAUCGUAUCUCUUGGAUCCAUUACAGGGGGCAGUUUGCUGAGGUGUUCCAUACACAUAUGAUGUGGAUGGUGCAGUGGAUGCAGAAAAAUGUGACUUUUGCCUUUCCUCAUUAAGAUUACCAGAUUGAAUAUAUUUUUCUAGUUGCUGAAUUUGCUUAUUCAGCUGUGACCUAGCAUUAACAAAAAGUUCUAUUUUCAAUUCAAAUUCUAUUCAAUUAAAAAAGAAUAUGCUGUAAUUUUUUUGACACAUGAUUUAGGAUAACACAACUAUAAAUAAAUAAAAAAAUACAAUGUUGAAGCCUUAGUUCUUUUCUGGGAUUGUAUGUGGUAUAUAUUAGAAAUGAAAAUGUUACAAACACUGUAAUUCCAAGGGAAAUGCACACCUAUCAUGGCGAAGUUUUGAUAUCUGUGUAGAAUUGAGGUUUUCACCAUUGUCGAGCAGUUCAUUAGAGAUUGCAAUUAGAUUAUCCUUCAAUUCCUGCAAAUGAAUUGCUGCUUCGGGGCAAAGCCCUAACUGCAUCCAAUUUAAGGAUUAGGCUUAUCAAUCUGACAAAUAAAAUGGUUAACUUGAUAAAGAUAAAAAUACCUUGUACCCAUGGAUGCAAUCUAAACACAGGUCUGGUGGCAAAGCAUUAUCCCCCUCUCUAGCAAAAUCAUCUUUAUCUGCAAUUGGUGUUAUAGGAGGAAGCUUGGAUAUUGAUGGCUUGGGAGUGCAGGUUGACUGGUAUUUCUCAACAAUUUGGUCAACAUCAAUGUUCUUAAACCAAAAACAGGACGGAAACAAAGAGAGAGAAAUCAGCAUCUACAUGGAUGCAAGUAGUUAGGAUAAACUUGACUAGGAAACGGCUUAUUUUUAAGAAAAAACGACAAAGCAACCAUACAAACAAGGAUAAAAGGACAUAAUUACGGAGUGAAUAAAAUGGCCAAGCCCCCUCGCCACUUUCCACUUCACAAAAGAAUUGUACAAACUACAACCUUCAAGUUGAAAUAACUAAUAUACAUUCAUCAGCAAACUAGUAAUAAAAGACUGAAAGUUAAACUAACUGACUGGUAUAAAAUUAUAUAUGAAUGUAACUAAUAACUUUGGUAAGCCCAGAUUUUAUAAUCAGCUCAUUCAACAACAAAAAAAUCAAGCAAGUUUUAACAAAAAUGUUUCCCCAUAUUGUUGGCAGUUCUAACUUGCAAGCCUAGUGAAACCCAAAUGAAUUUGACUCAUUUAAAUUAAUCAAAGUGUAAUAAAUUACCUCAAGUAUGUUAUCAUCAUCAAUAUCUCCAGACAUGCAGUUGGAAGACUCAUUGAUUUGGCCUGUGUACUUAUUAUGAUUGUUCACUGAACCAUCCAAACCGCGAGAACUAUGACUGCUAACAACUGGAGCGGCAGUGACGUCAGGACAGGUACGGUUGUCAUUCUCAUAGCCUCCAUGGAAGGGAGUUGUUCUCGUAUUCUCGUGAAUCUGCCGAGUAACCUUGACAGUUUUUCCGGGUUGUAUAUAGGUCCUACUAGAAUUUUGUAGACUUGAAAGAACAUCCCAAGCCUGUCAGGAAUUGUUUUAACAGAAGUCAUUGCAAACUAUAGAAGUCUCAAGUAAGAACAUUUACAUUGGCAAACUACUCGCUUUCAUAUAACAUUUAUACUAGUAUACCUUGUCAAAUUGUACUCUCUGUGAAACUUGAAUAUUUUCACUUCGUUGAAAUACAAAACUGAAAGAAUUAAAGCAUUAGAGAGCAAGAUGAAACUAGCUGAAAUCCAUAUAGUAAUCUAGCAUAUCAAGUUCCACAGAAAUAGCACAGCCAAACAGUUGACAAAGGAAACAAAAAACAUCAGAUCCUUUCAGAAAUUAUCUCAGCACUGACCAGCAAAAAGUGGAGUAAGAAGGUCAUAAUCCAAGAAGGUAGGUAACAAUGAACUGAAACAGGUUUAAACCCACAUCCACCAUGUUAUACUGCUGUGUUAGCAAAGCCGAUUGAAGGAAAUGAAAAUUUCCCUGUAUAUGCACAAAACUAAUGAAGCCCCAAAGCCUAGUCAUUCCACGAAAAACCUAAACCCCACUACCUAUGAACUUUAGAAUGAAACUCAGACCUAACUGGAAAUACAACAAAGCCUGAGAAUGAAUGUUGAAGUAAAAGACAUACCCGGAAGUCCCAGGGUUUGGUUCCUGGUGGCGGGGCUUCUUGGGUGGGACAGAGAGCAGAAAAUUAGAGCUCAAAAACUUCUCUUGGGAGGAGAAAUUCUCGUGGGCAUUGGCAUGCUGCAACCAGUUCUUGUUAUUCUCUUUAACAACCCGAACUGAAUUGGCUUCACUGUGAACAUCAGAAACCUAAUUAGGGACUAACUAUAAAUGAUGAACCACAAAGAUAGAAACAAAUAAAGCGAACUCAGCAUCAUUACCCUUGUCUCAUUUGAGUCCCAACCAAACAACACAUUCCCUGCAGAAUCAGAAUUCAAAUUGAAUCAAAACGACGCAAUAAUAGUGCAAAAGAAUGAGGAAAAAGAGGUCGUUGACGUGCCUUCGCAAAAUGUGGCUAAUGGAAGAUGAAUCGAACGUUGAGUGGAAGAAUAAUGAAAACCCUAAAAAAGUGAUUGCGAUUGGAACAGAAAGAGAUCGAAAUAAUCGUACGGAAGAGAAGAGAAACAGAGCUCUUCCAAAGCAUUGGCGGGAAUUUUCAUUUCAUGAAAUCAACGUCUGCAGAAUCUUCAUUUCUUUUUUUAUAAAUCAAUCAAAUUAAAUAUUUGGAUCUUCGAAUCAACGUGCUUUUGGACACUGCUCAGAAAAUGCCAGAAGAGGGAAAGUUAAAAUUUGAACUUUAGUUUUUAGAAAUUUAAUCUUUAUUUAUAUAUUUUCAAAAGUUUAGAUUUCAUUAAUUUUUAAAUUUAUACUUCAUUUUUCCAAUUUUAAUUGAGUUUGUAAUAUUUUAGUUAGCACAGACAUUAACCUACACGGAGACACGGAUUAUAUAUUAUAUUAUUAUGAAUUAUAAUAAUUUGACAAUAAAAAUUUACCUGCAUAAGUAUGUUUUAAUUUUUUUUAAUAGAAAAAAUGUUUCUCAGUUCAAAAUGAUUUGUUAUUUAUUUUUGUAAUCAUAAUAAAAUUUAUACAAUAAAUUUUAGUUUUUAAAAAAUUAAUAUAUUUUUUAUUUUUUAAAUUAUGUUAAAAUGUCAGAAAUCCAAAAAAUAUUUUUUAAAAUUAACACUUCACUCGUAUAUUUGUGUCAUAUACAAACACACUAUUUGAUUUGAUUAUUUUGUCUCUAAAAUUGUAAAUAUAAAGGAAGAAGAAUGAUUUUUAUUUUUGUAAUAAAUUUUUGACAAUAAGUAAGAAAGUUAAAGGUGAUAAGAAAAUAAAUUAAAAUAUAAAUAAUGAUAAUAAUAUAGAAAUUAAAUAAGUUAUUAUAACUGAUUAGCUAAAUAACUUAUAAAUUACAAAUAAAAAAUUGAUAAAAUAAAGAUAGUUUAUAAUACAAUUUUACAGAUUCAAAGUAGGAUGUAAGUUUGGGUUAGUUUACUAAAUUGCUCAAACGGAUAAAUUUUAAUCUUUUUACAAAAAUUGGUAAAUGGUAUUUGGAAGAAGAUUUCAAAAUGAUUUUUUUUUCUUUUAAGUUAUAAUAUUUUUAACAAAAUUUUGCUUAAAUAUAAAAAUGACAAAAUUAGAAGUCCAACCCUAACACGUAAAGGAUGACGAAUUGACCUGUCAUUUUAAUUUUUUGUUUUAAAUUUAUUUAUUUAAUCAAAAUACCAAUUAAAUUGAAUCAAACUUUAUAAUUAUCAAAAUAUAAUGAAGAUCAAUAAAAUUAAAUUAAAUUUUAAUAUUAUAAUUAAAGAAUAUAUUCUUUUAACAAAAUAAAAUAAAUAUUAAUAAUAUUUUAAUGAGUUAAAUAAUAUGUAGAUAAAUUAAUUUAAAUAAAAUUUUAUGUAAUAUAUUAAUUACCAUUUAUUUUAAUUCCGGAAGCAUCAAGUUUUUUUCUAAAUAAGAAAUGGACUAGCUCAUCCAUCCAAAAUUUAUUUUUUAAAUUAUUUUGUUAGAGUAAUAAUACGAGUUUUACUUCAAUGAGUUAGCUACGUUACAUGACUUUAUUUAUUAUUAUUUUAUUAUACUUAAAAAGAAAAUAUUUCUUCUAAUCUAAAUAGUAAAACAAAUAUACUUUACCGUCAUUUAUAAUAAUAUAAUAAUAUUUUAAAUUAAAAAAAAAAUAUAUAUAUAUAUAUAUAUAUUAAUUUAUUAGUGUAAAAUGAAUGUUUGUUCACUGUAUUAAGAUAUAGAAACCCUACUUAAAAACGUAAUUUGAUAAAUUAGAUUUCACCAAAAAAAAACUAUUAUUAUCAUUUAACAAUUCACUAAGAAGUCAAUUGCAAAUAAAAAUUAAUAACCUUUUUCUCUUCCACGAACAAGGUUUAAACAAGUAGAUAGAACUCUAACAAAUUCAAACCUUGAAUUUGGCAAUUUUCAAUGGUCAAAGGAACAUUUUUGUUGACAAUGGCAAGAAAAUCAUCAAACAUAACUCAACCACAGUCAGCAAUUUCAUAGAUGUUUGAAACGACUUCAAUAGGCCAUGGAAAACACAAUUUAUUUUUUUGAUAUCAUCUUUUGAAACACAAUUUUUAAAAUUUACUUAUUUUAGUAAAUUUGAUUUUUUUACCACUUUGGUAAAUUAAACUGUAAGUUUGUUUAUCAAGGUUAUCGAACAUGUCUAUUAAAUGGUGUGACUGUAUUAAAUACACAUAUUGAAAAUUGACACUCGUAUAAAAUUUGCAGGAUACGUAUAGUUGAAGUGUCAAAUUCAUUUGUUGAAUUUCAGACAAUUUUUUAGCACGAUUCUAAUACAAUUUUUUUUAAAAAUACAUUAUUUUUUAAAAACUCAAAUUUAUUAUAUAAAUUUUUAAUAUGAUUAUAAAAAUAAUGAAUAAAUUCUUUUGAGACAGUUAUGAAAAACAAUAUUUUUACUAAAAAAAGGUAACCUAUUUUUCACAUAAAUCUUUAUUGUCAAUUUAUAUAAUUUAUAAUUAUAUAAUAUAUAUCCAUGUCUUUGUAUUCUGCAUUUUAAAAAUUAUACGUAUAUUCGUAUUUGAGAAAUUAUACGUAUAUUCGUGAAAAAAAAACCUUAAACAUAUUUCUGUCCAUAAAUCUUUAUCAAUUUAUAUAAUUCAUAUUUAUAUAAUAUAUAGAUUUGUGUCUAUGUCUAUGUAUUUUACUUUUAGAGAGUAUACAUACAACUACAGUAUUCACAUUAUGUGUAUCUCUGUAUCCGUGUCUCGUAUUAUAUGUAUAUCUGUGUUGUGCGGUGUGCGUGUCAUUGUUAGAUAGUUUAGUUGUGAUAUAUUUUAUUAAUUUAAUUUGAGUGUUAUAACUUUGAGGGAAUGAAUGGCGAGCAGUGAGUCUCAGCUUCUUCGUCCCCGCUUCGGUUAUGGCGGUGCUCAGGUGAGUCAACCUCCGUUCUGUAUCCUCAUCACUUCACCUUUUCAUUUUCCUCUUCUCAUAAACCAUAAAUUCAUCAACACAAGCAGAUAACUCAUUCAACAAUCACUAACCCAAAGUCCAUUCACACGUUCUUGUUCUGCAUACCUGUUUCUCCGAUGCCAGGCACCGCCGUUUUUUACGAGGAAUUUGAGGUUCCCAUUUUGGAUUUCAGUGCAUUCUAAUACUCAUCCUAAUCCAAAGAAUCAUCUAAGUCUAAGGGUGAAGAUGCAACCGGAAGCAGAUAUCAUGAUGAACCCCGUUUCUGAUAACAAAAUCCCACACGUGCUAACUGUUGCUGGGUCUGAUUCUGGGGGUGGUGCUGGAAUCCAAGCUGAUCUCAAGGCCUGUGCUGCACGCCGGGUUUACUGCUCCACUGUCAUUACUGCUGUUACUGCGCAGAACACUGUUGGGGUUCAGGUUCAAUUUGAUUUUAUUUCAUAGUAAUAGUAAUUUGAUUUGAUUUAGAAACAAAAAAUUACUCAAUUUGAUUUCAUGCAUUUUGAGUUGGCUCAUGUUAUACUGUGUAAACAAAAUGUCAUCAUCAAGUUGGGAUAGUUCAAGGCUUAUUCAUAUAAUGAACUGUAGUGUGAUCAACUGGGUUCUGUUAAUUUUGUUGGCAAUCGAUUAAACGACUGACUUUGUAAUUUUAUGCUGUCCUUUCGUUAUCCCUUUUUCUAAAAUCCGUGUCAAUUGCUAGGGUGUGAACAUUGUACCUGAGGAUUUUGUGGCAGAGCAGUUGCAAUCUGUACUUUCUGAUAUGCAUGUUGAUGUGGUAAGUGGAAUUUGGUCUAUACGGAAAAUUGAUUUACUCAGUUAUGAGGGCGCUUACUUUCUGUUCUCCUUGAUACACACUGAUUUCUUGGUUAAUGGUGUUUGCUAUUAUUUUUUCCAUUUGAAUUAUUAUUUCAUGUCUUUAGGUCAAGACUGGCAUGCUUCCCUCUCUUAAUAUAGUUAAGGUUCUCUGUCAGUUCCUUACCAAGUUUCCAGUCAAAGGUAUUCACUUGUAAAAAAAAUUCUAUUGUAUUUGUACUAUUGCAAUUGGAGUGACUUCUGUACUGACUUCCUUUUUUGCUGAACGCAGCUCUCGUGGUUGAUCCUGUUAUGAAAUCUUCCAGUGGGGAUGUACUUUCUGGUUCUUCUGUUCUUACUGGAUUUCUGUAUGUGUUUCUGAACUUGAACUAUACUGUUUUUGUUUGACAUGAAAGUAUUUUUCAUAUUCUUCAGUCUUCACUACUUGGUAUGGAUUCUAUUUAAAAUCCUUUGAUUAUAUAGUAGCCUUAUGCUUAAUUUUCUCAGCUAUGGGUGUCUGCCUAUUGGCUUUUACAGUUAUUGAUGGGUAACAUUAAAAAAUGAUAUAUUUAAAAUUCAAUUUUAUUUUCAUCCUUGUUACGGUCUCUAAAAUGAUUUCAAAAUUCAAUUUUAUUCAAAAGCCUGUAGGAAAUCAGUUCAAUUUAUUUAUUGGAUACUGAAUGCAGGGGGGAACUACUUCCCAUGACAGACAUUGUAACCCCGAAUAUAAAAGAGGCAUCAGUUUUACUUGGAGGUGUACCACUGAAAUCAGUUUCUGACAUGCGUACUGCUGCCAAAUUGAUACAUGAUUUGGGCCCUAGGUUUGUUGCUGUUUAAUCUAUUUGAGUAUUUGGUUCCAAUCUAACUAAAUGGUUUCUUAAAACUAUUUUUUGCCUUUUACUGUUUACUAAUAGUUAUUUGUCUAUGCUUUAAGAAACUUAAUUAAUAUUAAAUAUAAUGUUUUUUUUUUCUUUUAGCCAAACCGAGCUGCAUGAAUAGUAGAAUUCCAACUUUAACCUGCUUGUUCGGCACAGCUUGAACUUUACAAUAUGACUCAUGGACCUUAUAAAAUUUUAUUUCAUAUUCUCUUACCUAGUUCAAACUACGAUAUCAAUGAUUACAAAAGGAAUACUGAGAAAACAAAUCUGUGACAGUGGUAAAUCGGUAUAUUUUUCUGGAGGGAGAAACAUACCUUACUGAAGUCAUUCUUCCCAAUGGGUACUACUUAGUAAAUUACUUUCACAUAAAUGGUAUACACUUUCGGCUGAAGUUGAAGAUAUCUCACCUCACAUGAAAUAGUUACUAACUUACUACUAUAAUAUUUUCCUAAACUGUUGUAGUAUUGCAUUGCCUUUAUUUUUUUCUUAUUUAUCUUCAGACUUUUCCUAGAAACUUGGAAGAAAAUAUACCUGCGUGAUACUGUUUAUAUCUAAAUGGCUGAUACAAUAUCCAGAGCCAGAACAUGGACUCAGACUUCUAGCAAAAACUUUCCAUAAGAGUGCCCUGAAUGCCUUGGCUUAGCAGUACUUUUGGAAUUGAAAAUGUAUUAUGUGCUUAUCAUAUAGCUGUUAAUAUUGACUUGCAAUAAGUAGAUUACUAGAUUAUUUCCCUAAAUUAGUGAUUCCCAACAAUUGCUUCGCCUGCUUCCAUCGGAAGAAAAUUGGGAUGGUGUUGUAUAUAUAAAAGAGUUACACUUCAUGGAUAGAGGUCAUAAUAAGGAAAUGAUAAGAAAACUUCAACUUCGAAGUAUUGUGCAUUUACUGAUUAUUAAUUUUUUUUUUGUAGGAAUGUACUCGUCAAGGGUGGUGACCUCCCUAAUUCGUUAGAUUCGGUUGAUGUAUUUUUUGAUGGUAAGGUUCAAGUCUUUAAUUCUGAGACACAAUAGAGAAACAAAAUCUAUCAGACAUAGCAACCCUUUGCUAAUGUAUAUCAAAAUCUUUUUUAAAAAUGAACUCCAUUUCUAGAUCUUGAGUUUUGCAGGCAAGGAGUUCUACGAGCUCUGUUCACCACGUGUAAAUACUCGCAAUAGUCAUGGUACUGGUUGUACCUUGGCAUCAUGCAUAGCAGCAGAGCUGGCAAAAGGUUCAUCAAUGCUUUCUGCAGUUAAGGUUUGUUCAACUAUCUCAAUUGAUUUGAUAAUAAUAUUGAAGGAUUUCAUUGGGCAAUGCCCAUGAUCUACUCCCCUUUUGUUGUCUCUGUAAUUUAAAUAGAAAAGGAACAAAUGUAAAUAACAGAGAUUGAAAGAUGGAAUAUGCUAUAAUUAUGAUCUUUUUUCUUAUGUGGAUUCUGGCAGACAGCUAAACAUUUUAUUGACGUUGCCUUGGAUUAUAGUAGAGACCUGCCAAUUGGAAGUGGUGUUCAAAGACCUUUUGACCAUUUUUUGAAACUUAAGAAUAUCAAUCAGAGUUCCGGGAGGCAGAAUAUGUUCAACCCAAAUGACCUGCUUUUGUAUGCUGUAACGGACUCAACUAUGAAUAGGAAGUGGGGCCGUACUAUUGCUGAAGCUGUUAAGGCUGCUGUAGAAGGAGGUGCUACCAUUGUUCAAUUAAGGUUUGUUUAUUCAAAUAUGCUUUGUUUUUUGUUCCACCCUAUACAUGUUACAGAAUAUAUGAGAUUCUUUAUCAUCAGUAUUUGACAGUAGAUAAAGUUCUCUGUGAUUUAAUAUGCGAGGCACCCUAUUCUAAAGAUCUGGAAAUUACUAUUUGUUUUUUGUUUUUUUAUCGUGAACAAUCUUAACCUUACUCUUGAAUUUUUUGUUUAUUUCCUUCUCUCUCAUCCCCUUCUCCGCCCUAAUGAAAUAUUAAGCACCCAGUAUUUAUUGGCUGAAUAGUUGAAGUUUAGCUGAUUGUUACAUCAGGAAUUAUUUUCUUUUAUUGUGUGUUCAGAUUUUCUUUGUUGUAUUUGAAGCCUGCUUUAUGGUGUUUCUCAUCUCUUGUAUGCACAAUUAAUACAGUUAAUAAGAAAUACCUCUGCAAAGUAUAUGCUAUUAUCCCACUUCAUAUUUAUAUCUUGCAAACAAAUGUGCAUGUAUACAGGUCUUGUUGAAAUUUGUGUUGCAAACUUUCUUGUACUGCUGUGUUUAUCUGUCUAAGAUCAACUAGUCUAAUUCAGAUACUCGUUACCAAAAUCUGUCCACUCCACUUCUUUGGCCACAUCUAAACUCAAGCUUAACCUAUUGCAUAACGUAAAACGUCAAUGGCUGGCUAUUGAACAUAGCGCCUUCCAUUGAAAACAGGUGUGGUAUCAGAAUUGAAGUGACGUUAGGCUAGAAGCAUUCAGCAGAGACAGUAAUUUCCGUUGUUCCCUGAUUACCAAUUUAUGAAGUGAAUCCCCAGAUCAAUGAUUGCUUGAUCAUAAUUUGUCAUUUAAUUACACUUAUAUUCUCGUUUCUAGAAAUGUUUGUUUGGCCACUUUAAUUGAAGUGUAUGAUGAUGCAUGCUUAAUUUUUAGUUCCUGUUAAGAGUGGAAAACAUCCAAAUAUCUUGAUUGUAUCUUAAAGUAUUUUUGAUUUUCUAAAUAUUAGUUUCUAUCUUUCCUUAUUAUUGCAUCAUUUGUUUCUUAUUUAAUCAAGAAUCAAAAGUCUACCACACACACAUAUGGAAUGUUUGAAGCACAACAGAAACUCAUUCCCUUUUCUCUCCUCUCCUCAGCGAAUACUUAAACCUCAGAGUUUCAACAGGCAGCAAUUAUUUUAGCCUGAUUUACGUAUGACUUUACAGGGAAAAGGAUGCUGAGACACGGGAUUUUCUUGAUGCUUCCAAAGUAUGCCUUGAAAUAUGCCGUUCCUAUGGAGUACCAUUACUGAUAAAUGAUCGUUUAGAUGUGGCCCUUGCUUGUGAUGCUGAUGGUGUUCAUGUUGGUCAGUCUGACAUGCCAGUACGUCUUGCAAGAAGCCUGCUUGGUCCUGAAAAGAUAAUUGGAGUAUCAUGCAAGACGCCUGAGCAAGCCCACCAAGCAUGGAUUGAUGGGGCUGAUUACAUUGGUUGUGGUGGUGUAUAUCCCACUAAUACAAAAGCAAAUAACCGUACUAUAGGCUUAGACGGCUUGAAGGAAGUAUCUCAGGCCUCUAAACUGCCUGUGGUAGCAAUUGGUGGCAUUAAUCUAUCAAAUGCACGUGCAGUCAUUGAAAUUGGUGAACCAAAGCUGAAAGGGGUUGCUGUUGUCUCUUCUCUUUUUGACAGGGAAUGCAUUUUGACUGAGACAAGAAACUUGCUCGCUUUAGUAAGUUAGGCAGCAUUAUUGAUACAAUGAAUAUGUCCCAAUGUGGGAGCAAUUUUGUCUAGCUCUCUUCAAGGGGGUGAUACAACAGCUGGGUUGCUUUUCACCUAGGAUGGAAAUAUGAGACUGCUGAUUCUUUAUGGGCCAUGCUAAAAUUCAAAAUAAAGGUUAAGUUGCACCUGCUGAUUUACUGCUGAUUCAUUUUCCUUUAUUUGAUGUUCGUCCUACCUGCUGAUUUACAGCUUCAAUGAUCGCGAGAUUUAUUGUUCGGCAAAAAACUAUUCUGUUUUUUGCAUUUUGUACUUUUUACUGUACAAAAUUAAUCAGAAUUUUCAACACCAACGUUUUGCAAUGGUAUAUAAUGCCUCGGAACUUUCUAACAGAACAUUAACAGGUUUUUUACAACAAAAUAAAAUAAAAUGCUCUUCAGCCUAAACCUGUUAUAAUCCUUUUCUACUGCCCAUUCUGUUCUUGCUUUCUCUUCCAAUUCGAGUGGGACAUUGCAAGCUGAGGUAACUUCUUUGGUAUAAUAAAUAUUCUUGAUGUAAGAAUAUAUGAAUUGGUACAAUUCAACUGAAGAUGAAUACUUAUUAAUAUAAUGAUUAUUGGAUACUUUGGUAAAAUAUCAUACUGGUAGAAUAAUUUCUUAUGCCAAAAGGUUAAGUAGAACUAAACUAUAUUUUGCUGUCCAAGAGUGAGUUACAUAAAUUAAAGCUUCUACCACUGUUAUCAUAUAGCCGAGAGACAUUGCUAUACAUGCAAGAGGUGUCCCUGGGAAACAUUACACUCAGCAUUUAGACCUCCAAACAAAAGCAUGUGAGAGAGCAAAAAGGAGAAGUUAAUACUUAUAAGAUGGUCACAAUUAACAACAUCGCACAACCUUAGAAGAAAAAUGUACAUCCGUUUAUUCAACUACAAGUCCUAUGCGGAAAACUGAAUUUUAUACAUACGAGCAAAGCACUCACCUUAGUUGAACUAAACCAAGUGCAAAGGAAACCAAGAAUCUAUUGCUCUAUCUAAAAAGCAAGGCUUUUUUAAGUAACAUGAAAUUCCCCACUUGCUCGUGCUUCUUUGACUCUUUUUUCAUACUCAUCUUCUUCAGCCUCAAUCUCUGCUUCUUUUGUUUCAUCUUCAUCUUCUUCUUCUCCCCAACCAAAUCCUCCAAUCGACCUGGAUGCUGGAGGUGGAACUUUGGCCUCCUCAACAAUAUUCAUGAUGCCUUCUAUACUCUGAAGAGAAAAGAUUGGAUUUUCUUUUCUGUAGUAUGCAGCUUGACCUACUUCUGUUAAUUCUCUAGGCAAGUUCUUUAAAAACCAUGGGUGGGACUUGAUUUCCUUGAUAGUGAUUCUCUGCAGCAAAUCAAUAUCUAGAGUGACAAUUUAUUUUACCACAAAAUGUCACUUGUGAAUUGUGAUGGGAGGGAAAGAGGGUAGCUUAGGCACUACAGGCCCUUUUCAGUUCAUACCUGAAACUUAGCAAAUGACUGAAAAAUACUACCAAACUAUCACUAUGAAACUGUUGAACAAUUAUGAGCUAACUUCAAGUAAUGCAGGUAGUAUGUGCAUACCCUAGCUGCAUUUGCCACAAAAAUGCGAGAUAGCAGAUGUUUGCAGUCUUGAGAUAUGUGAACAUAGUCAGGGAUCUUGUAUUGAACAGCCAUAAUUCUCUGUAUAAGAAUGUUACAGAGUCAGAAAGUGCAGACAUUUAAUAAAUUGGUCAAGUGAGAUAGAUAGAUGAUGGGAAGAAAAGUACAUUGAUGGUUUUCCUAAAAUUUUUGGGAUCGUCUUGGUCUUCAAAUGGGUAUGCUCCCACCAGCAUUACAUAAAGAGUCACUCCACAGGACCAUACAUCAGCUAGCUGAACAGAAACAAAACAGCACAGAAGAACUAGAAAAUGAACAUCGUUGCUGUAUCAUACACAGAAAACUCAUCAAGAAAGAUUUAAUCUAUUUGUGGCCAACAUACUCCAAAUAUUUCCGCUGUCAUCUUUUUAAAAAACUUCAGAGCACAUCACACGAAUAAGUAAAAGAUGGCUAUAUUUUAUAAGGCAUUUUGCUUUGUGAACUACCCCAUUCACACAUACUAUUCUUUCCACAUUCAGCUAGUUAAAUGUGCACACAUCAAGUCAUUGAAUACAACGCAAAAUAUCACAUGUAUAAUUAGAUGUGACGCAUAAAGCAUAACUCUAUUUCUUAAAGGCCUUGUGUCAACAGAAAUUAUUAUCAUCCAUCAUAUUUCUUGCUUUCCUCUAAAUAUGAGAAGUCUCUGUGUGUGUUUUUUAGACAUUUCAAGUCAUCCUUACUCUUACAUCAUGAUUGAAACAAAAUUACCUUUCCAUCAUAUUCUCUACGUGAAAGAACCUCAGGUGCAAUGUAUGCUGGGGUUCCCACAGUUGACUUAGGCCUUGAAUGAAGCAGAGAUGACUGGAAAAUUAAAGGUUAUCAGAUGCAAAACUUGUGAAAAAAAUGACUUAGUAAUUUAUUUAAAGCCAUUAGCAUCGAUAUCUCUCCAUAUUCGAACCUUAGAAUAACCAAAAUCACAAAUUUUGAGCCUUGGGGCAGGGCUGCCAUCCAAUAAGGUGUUCUCAAGCUUCAAGUCUCGAUGACAGAUUUGCUGCAAAAGCAGGAAAUUACAAAGACAAAAACCGCACAGGAAGCCAGAAACAAAUUACCAUCCGAAAAAACUCAUUCCCAAUAUAAUUAUUCUAUUCACCAUGGAAUGACAGUAGCUAACUCCUGAGAUGAGCUGCUGGAAGAAAUAUCGAGCCUGGAAAAGUAGGAGAUAACAAAUGAGGAUCAAACUAUAGAAUCUCCAAGCACCCGGUUGCUAACAGUGAAGUAGGAGAUAAGUAGCUUCGUGCCUUUAAUGAGUACAAAAGUGGAAAAAGAAUUGGUAGGCAAAUGAAAGGUAAUUAAGCCUCAAAUUUAAUAGCUAAAGUUUUUCACUAUAUAGCUCAGACACUGAUAAGACAGAGACAUGUAUAAUUUUUAAAAUGUAAGACAUGUAUAAGUUCUAUAUAUCAUAUAACUAUGAAUUCAAUAAAGGUUUAUGUGCAUAAGUAUGUUUCAAAUUUCUUUUUUUAGCAGAAAUAUGUUUUUCAUGGCUGCUUCAAAAGGAUUUGUUUCUUAUUUUUGUUGUUCGAUGACACGGACACAUAAUGUAAGAGGUGUGUUCAGCCUCAUAGGUUUUUCAUUUCUACCCAGGUUCAUAUAAUCAUCCAACAAUGGGAAAAGAGGGAGUUGCGGAAAUUAUAAUAUUGAAACAUCUAAACUUUAUUUAUAAAGUGGAUGAACCUCAUCUUCACUGAAUCUUCCAGCACUGCAAAUCCUCUCAAAGAGCUCUCCACCAGCUGCAUACUCCAUAACAAUACCCAGAUGUGUGGGAGUCAAAACCACCUGCAGAGCUGAAAUCACAUGUUAAAUAACCCAAACAUGACACAAAUAGUAGUCUCAUUAAGAUCAUAUCAUAUGUACAGAGUACAAACCUCCUUGAACCGAAUAAUAUUUUGGUGGCGAAGACUUCUAUGGUUUAUGAUUUCCCUCGCAACAUUCUCAUCAAUCUAGAAAACACCCAUCAAUAAACUCAGGCACAGACUCGUUUUUGGAUUAUAAAAAUUGACAAUAACAUGAAUUCUAGGAAGAAAAACAAAAGGGCUAUAGUGAAAGUGAAAAAGGAGUAGAACCUUGUAACCCCUUUCAAUGUAUUUCAUGGCAACAAGCUCUUUGGUGUCUCUGUUACGCAUGAGCCUAGCCACCCCAAAAUUCCCAGAUCCUAUAUCCUUGACGAGCUCGUAUUUCUCCAUCCUGAAUCGGAAAUUUGAGAGCUUUGAAUGCGGUGAGCUCCAGAUCGAUAGAGUUUCAAAAGGGUAAUGGAGAGAGAGAAUAAGGUGCAGGUACGCAAAAUAAAGGUGGCGAAUUUAUGAGAGAGCCAAAUAUAGUGGGAUUUGGGAGAGUUUUGAAGGGAAGCAAGGAAUCUCAAUUUGUAGCAAAAUAAUAAUAAAAUUUGGAGUUCAAAAUAAAAAAGUUUGAAUAGUUUGUUGAAUGAACAGAGAAAAAUUGCAAGUUGAAUGAAGGGUUUUUCAGAGAAGGGAGAAGAGAGAGAGAAGAAUGAGACAAAGGAAUUGUUGUGCUAUCUUAUGUGUGCAUUGCUGAAUAGUAUGGUAUAUGCCACUGCAAAAAGCCAUUGAUCUAAAGAGAAAGAAUAUGAAUAUGAAUUUAUGAAUAUGAAUCCUUUUCAAUUCUCUUCAAAUUAAUCUCACUCUAAUCUUCCUUCAAAACAAGAUUAAUCAGAUUUUUUUAAAACAUUAUUGUGUAUUUAAGAUGCUAAUAACAUAUUUUUAAAAUAGUAUAAUAUGUUUCUAUAUUUUGACAAUAUUUUCUAUAUACAAAGGAUUCUCAAUUUGCAUUUCAUUCUGAUAAUAAUGUAAAGUCAUUGAAUCCAAAUUUUUGUAUACAUCUUUUCUAAUAAUGACAUGAUUAUGCGUGCCUUAUUGUCCCAUCAUUCGCCUUCAUUUUUGACUUCUUGUCUAUUAAUAUUAUUUUUAUAUAAUAUAAGAAAAACUAUCAUAUACUAAAGGGAUUCGGACAUACCUUUUUAAAUGGAAACGGAAACAUAUAUCGGACAUCGAUACUUGUAAUAUACAAAUCAGUUGGACAUACCUUUUAAAUGGAAACGGAAACAUAUAUCGGACAUCGAUACUUGUAAUAUACAAAUCAGUGAAGUGUUUAAUUCAAAAAAAUAUUUAUUAGAUUUCUGACAACUAUAACACUGAUUCUAACAUAAUUUUAAUAAAGAGAAAUAAAUUAAUUUUCUUAAAAUUUAAAUUUAUUGUAUACAAUUUUAUCGUGAUUAUAAAAGUAAAGAAUAAAUCUUUUUGAAUCAACUAUGAUAAACAUAUUUUUUGUUAAAAAAAAUAAAACAUAAUUAUGCACAUAAAUAUUUAUUAUCAAUUUAUAUAAUUCAUAAUUAUGAUAUAUUGAUCCAUAACCACGUGUCCUACACUUUAGAGAUUAUAUGUAUCUUUAUCUGUGUUCGUGUUGUAUUAGUGUUUAUAUCAGUUUUUAUGCUACAUAUUAUAAAUUUACUCAAAAUUUAUAUUUAUUGUUCAUUUUAAUUUAUAUUUUCGUUGUAAUUUAUUUGGAUAUUAUUUUAAAAGCCUAUGAAAUAUUUUUUCUUAAAAAAAAUGGUGGAUAUUAAUGCAUAUCCGUAGAUUUUAAAAAAUCCGCUAGAAUCUUCAGAGCAGGUAGCACCCACCAACCUCAAUUAUUAAAAUGAGAAUAUAAUUUUAGAAAUAUAUUAUUAAGUGCUCUGUUUUUAUAAUCCAAACACAUAAAUUAUUAUUAUAAUUUUAUUUUAUUACUAUUUUACUUGACAUUUUUUCAAUAAAAAUAUAUCUUAAUAUUAAAAAGCUAUAAUUUCAUUUUUAUAUGUCGAAUAGAUUUGAAAAAACUGAUUAAUUCUUUCAUAUAAAAAAAAUAUAACAAAAACUUUGUUUUAUAUUAUUUUCCCCAUAUCUCCCAUUUAUGGGCAGGGUCCCUUUCUAGUGUGAACUGGGGGUGAUGAGGGCCCUAAAGCUUAUUGAAUCAGAGCCCACCAAUGGCCCAUUGGGCCGAUUGUAAAGUAGUAGACGCACUAUAAUCCAAAAGCCCAAUUCAAUCUACUGGAGUAGGGAAUUUUCUAAUAAUACUAAUAAUAAUAACCAAACUUAAUUACACAGCGUCUAUUUUAAAUUUUAGUUAUGUCAAAGGGUGACAUAAAAAUAAGUUCCAAAAUAAAAAUAAAAAAAUAUAUAAAUUUUGAAGUGCUUAAUAAAUUAAAUAUUUUAGUAAUUUGAAAAACCAAGUAUAAAAAGAAAAUAUACACGUAUCAUUCAAUAUAGAAAUUUAAUUUCAAACAAACAAUAUACUUAAGAACACAGAUUCAUUUACCAUUAUCUAACUAUCAGAAUUGAAAUUUAUAUAUUAAAAUAGUAAAAUACAAUAGUUGCAAAACCUGUAAUAAGCAUGAUCAUAAUACUCUACUACUACUAAUAGUAUAACACUGUGUAUUCCUAAUGGAGAAAGUUCAAAAAGAUUAAUCUUAAUAUAUGAUUUAAAUGUUUUCUUUUACUAAUUUGAAUGUGAUUCUGUUAGUAGUGCAUUUAAAUGAUUUUAAUCGGUGAAACAUUUGUCAUAUUUCGUAGGGUUACUCAUAUUUUUUUAAAGAAAAAUAUUUACAGAUAAAUAGAGACUUGUUUCAUUGAUAUAAUAGACUUUCAUCUAAUAUAUUUUUAGAGUUAUUUAUAAAUAGUUAUAGUUUAUCUAUGUAUCAUUUUUUUUUAACAUAUAGGUUUUGGUUUAAUCUUUAUAUUUUUUUAUUUUUUUUAAUAAUAUUUUUUUCAUGUAAUGACAGAUGAUUAUUGUUAUUUAAAAUGUCAACUUGGGAUGCCAAUUUGCAUGUUUAUCACUAAAGUUUUAUAAAAAAAUGUUAAUAUUUGUCUACUCCUUUUAAUUCUAUUCAUAACCUAUUUUUUUUUUAGCUAACUAUUUUUCUUGUCAUAUUAAAAUAUUAUAUAUAUAUAUAUAUAUUAAUUACAUAAAAAAUAUUUUAAAAAAAUGAUUUUGUUUUCCCUGUAGCGUAAGAAUAAAAAAUGGGAAGGUCGGUUAGAAUGAAGGUAAAAAUUAAUAUUAGUAAUGAAUCAGUGGCACAGAGAGAAAAAGAGAGAGUCUCAAUCCUUCAAGGGCAAGUCCUCGUCGUGUUUCUCUUCUCUCUCUUCUCUUCUCCUCUGAGAUCCCCCAUGGCCGUCUUCUUCAGAUUCUCCCUUCUCCUCCUCCUCCCUCUCUUCCUCUCUCCGGCUUUCGCUUCCGACUCAGAUCACAGGGUAAGCUUUUCCGAUUCCAUCGCUCGAUCCAUUUUCCCCUCAUUUCCUAUUAGAUCUACCUUUCAAUUUCGCUUUCGUUUUUUCAAUUUCGUUUCAAUUUUACCGAUAUUCUGUUAGAUCUCAGCUGCUUCCUCACUCCUCUCCGUUAUGCAUCUCUAAUAAUAAUUCACAUUUUCGUUUUCGAUGUUAUUGGAUUGCGAUUUCAGCUCUUCGCUGUUCUCUUAUUAACUCAUGAAUCAUGAUAUGCGCUCUGUUUGGAAUUCAAAGUAUUUAGGAUUCUUUUCGCUUCAUUGGACUCCGCAUUAAGUGAAUGUCAGAAACCCGUGCUGUUGAUGUUAGGGAUGCUUUGGUUUAGUUUUCAUACAUAAUCCGAACGUGCAAGCUUUAUAAUUGUUGCUUAUUCUCUGUUGUCAAUUAGUAUUGCAAAUGGUGAUUUCUUUUUGUCUGUCUACACUUGAAAAUUGCAACACCGGUGGUUUUGUAGUUUUCUCAUGUGUUUGUUUGGUUUUACUCCGCGUCAUCCAAUGUCACGCUGAAAUAUCAACUAAGUUGACUUGUGGUAUAUGUUCGCGUGUUUGAUUUUGCAUUGGAGAAUGAUCCGGGUUCGGAAUUGAUUUUAAGUUGAAACAAAUUUAUGUAGCUUUUUCCUUCGGAUCUUACUGGUGAUUUUCUUUUAGAAUAAAAUAUCCAAACCCAAAUCACUCCACUUCAAAAUCAAAUCGAAGUAAAUUCUAAUAUGCAGAAUCAAUUUCAUUUAGAAUAAUUUGCAAAUGCUCACCCAAACACCAAGAGAGUAUUUUGUUCUGUCUAUUAGCAAUUUCUUUUAGUAUUUUACGGCUGAAAUGAUGGACAUACCUAUCCAAUGGGAAUGUCCGGUUGAAAACUGUUUAGUGCAUUGGAGCUUCUGCCUCUCCGGACGUUAGGAGCUCGGGUAUUGGAGUCUUCCCUAUGGCAGAAGCUUGUCAAUGGUGGAUCGGAUUUUGACCCGAAGUAUUUUUGGUUUGUCAUAUUUGAGCUUUGUAUUGAACUCAUAAUAGAUCAAUCAAUGGUUACUACAUAGAUUUUCUUCUAAAUGUCUUUAAGCAUUUGAAUCAUUGUAUCACUGAAUCCGUCCUCAUUUCCUUAAGCUAGGAGUAAAGAUAAGAUAUGGUUCUCUUAUUUUUUUUAAACUUCCAGCCAUCAAUGGCUAUCUGUUUUAAACAUAUAUGGCAUUUUAUUGCAGUAUCAACCGGAGGAGAAAGUUAUGCUUUGGGUGAACAAAGUUGGUCCUUACAACAAUCCACAAGAAACGUACAAUUAUUACAGUCUACCCUUUUGCCGUCCACCUGGUCAUCCUGCACACAAAUGGGGUGGUCUUGGUGAGGUCCUGGGUGGCAAUGAACUCAUUGAUAGCCAACUUGAGAUAAAGUUCCUAGGUAUGGAGGCUUCUUUCAUCCUAUUUAUUUCGUAAGACCUAUCAGUAGACAAACUGUCUCUAACAGUUUUUUUUUUUUCAAAUUACAAGGAAAUGUGGAAAAGACCACCUUUUGUCGUCUGCAGCUUAACGAAGCAAACGUUAAACAGUUCAAGGAUGCAAUAGAGAAUAAUUACUGGUUUGAAUUCUUCAUGGGUAUGUUGCCAUGUUUCUUUCUUUCACAUAUUACUAUAUAAUUGUUAGAAUGAAUGUACUUCUAUAUAUAGUCAAGAAAUUCUAAACACUAGCAACAAUUUUUUUGUAUUUGUCCAUUGCAUAAGCUAAAGCGGCUGGGUUAAAUAAUAUCUGGCACAAUAUACCCCUUCUCAACUUUUGUAACUGGUAAGGUACAGCCUUCAAACCAAUUUCAGGGAAAUUGCCACUUGAAGUUGCCAACAAUAGAUUUAGUUGUUAAAAGUUAAAACCAUACAGUCAACAUUGAGUUUGACAGUCUGAGAAGCCUAGCUCCAUGGUGGCAGGGAAGGGAAGCUUUCAGCUGGUGGUUUAGAUUAAGUUAUUGCAUGCAUGCUUUAGUCUCAGCUGAAAAUGAUUUAUCAUGAUUCCUUUAAAAUUGAAGAAUAGAUUUAACUUACAACUUUCUCUGUAACUGUUGUGGUAUUGUGAUGUUAUCAAAAUCCUUUCUCUAAUUCUAAAAGUAACGGGCAUUUAUAUUAAGUAUUUUUUCUUUUACAUUCAUGGAGAAUUAUUCAUGAAUCGUGACUAGUUACAACAUUUCAUUGUGUGGGAAUAUAAAUUAUAAUGUAUAAACAAUGAAGCAUAUAUUUUAUAUAUUAUACAUCGUGACACAUUGACUGAAUUUGGAAUGCUUGACCCUGGAAGAGCAGUGCCCUGCUCUAUUUUGAUCCUUCUAUAACUACAACCACAGUCUUUUAGGCUGGGUGUUAUGUGCAUACUUAUGGAAGCUGAAAGAAGGAUAAAGUUAAGAAUUCUUUUUCUGAAGUUGCUGUUUAAGCAUUCUUGACUGGACUGAUAUUAUAAUCUCCUGAAGUAAAAUCGGGUAAGGGAAUCUUGGUGUGGUACAGCUCCUCCUAUGAUAUUGUGGGGUCUAGGGAUGGUUUUCCCCUGCUCUGUAUAGGUUUAUAGUAGGCAGCUUUAACUUGCACUUGCGAAAGGCUGAUUCCCAUGACUUGAACAUGUAUCAAUGCCUCAACCAUAGCAAGGAGGCCCUUCCUAAAAAACUGUGUUUAAAUUUAUAAACUAAGUAUUUUUCAAUUGAGAAUGUUAGGCAAUUGAUAUUAUAUUGUCUUGAUAGGUUUAAUGGUGAGUGAGGAUUUGUUCCAUGGACUGCCCCAUAUUUGUUUUCGUUUUUUAUUCAUAAUUUUUAAAAUUUUCUGAAUAACUUACUCUUGGCAUUCUUUCUUUCCUUGGUUGUGCUAUUUGUUGGUCGUGGAUGUGCUAAACACAAGCUCAGAUGAUCUUCCAUUGUGGGGUAUGCCUACUUUCUCUCUAUUUAAUUUAUCAUUUCAUUGGUUGAUCAUUGUAUAAGAUUCUUUUAUUCAUGUUUAAGGGUAUGUUGGGGAGCUACAUCCUGAUAAGAACAGUGAUAAUGGCAAGCAUGUACUUUAUGCUCACAAGAACAUCAAUAUUCAAUACAAUAAAGACCAGGUCAGAAGUUAUUUAUGUAUCUUUGCUAUCUUUUGCUGCUUUGGGAUUUAUGGAGUGCAUACUUAGGUUCAUUUACUGCAGAUCAUUCAUGUUAAUCUAACUCAUGACAACCCAAGGCCUCUGGAAGUAGGAAAAACUUUGGACUUGACAUAUUCUGUGAAAUGGACUCCUACGAAUGUCACUUUUGCACGCCGAUUUGAUGUAUACUUGGACUAUCCAUUCUUUGAGCAUCAGGUGAAAAUAAUUGCUGCUAGCUUUGUAUUUAGAUUGCAGAUGUAUUAUUGUUGAUUGCCUGCUAUGUGUUAUGCGUAUCUAUCUUAGCCAUGUCACUGAGAGAACUUUGAUCCUUUUUCUUUCUGUAGAUUCACUGGUUCUCUAUUUUUAAUUCUUUUAUGAUGGUCAUCUUCCUUACUGGAUUGGUGUCAAUGAUAUUAAUGCGAACUUUGAGAAAUGACUAUGCAAAGUAUGCUCGGGAAGAUGAUGAUUUGGAAACUUUGGUAAGGCAUUCUUGAUGUUUGUCUUUUACUACUACUAUUUCUGUUAUUAUUUUUUAAAACAUGCAGAACAUAGAUUUGGCUUUCCUGGAAAAUUCAUUUCGGUUCUGAUUGUUAAUUCUUGUUCAACUCCCAAAUACUUCCAGGAAAGAGAUGUUAGUGAAGAAUCUGGGUGGAAACUCGUGCAUGGUGAUGUUUUUAGGCCUCCUCGCAGUUUGGUCAUUCUUUCAGCUGUUGUUGGUACAGGCGCCCAGCUUGCAUUGCUGGUUUUCCUCGUCAUCUUGUUGGCUAUUAUUGGGAUGUUGUAUGUUGGGUAAGUCCAUUAAACUGACUGUAGUAUUGAUCUGAACAAUGAUUUCGUUCACAAUAGUGUGAUUGGUUAAAAAAUGGAAUUAAAUGCUAUAUCAUAUAUGCAUAUAUUAUUUUCUGCUUAUACAUCUCUCCUGUAUAACUGGACAUUCCUUUAGUUUUCCCCCUGACUAUAAUUUUUGUCCACUUCAUCUCCCUUCAUUAUUAUGUAAGGUUCCUUCAAUGUGCAGACGAGGAGCCAUCGUCACUACCUUCAUUGUAUGCUAUGCUCUCACAUCUUUCAUUUCUGGUUAUGUGAGUGGGGGGAUGUACUCACGAAAUGGGGGUAAGGAUUUGCAGUAAAUUAUGCUACAUGUUCACUUCAUGCUUUUGUUGCCUCUUUCUCUCUCCAUGAACGAUUAUAACUGUGUCAUUUUCAGGUAAAAGUUGGAUUAAGUCCAUGAUCCUUACAGCAUCACUGUUCCCAUUCAUGUGCUUUGGAAUUGGUUUUAUUUUAAACACAGUUGCUAUAUUCUAUGGAUCACUAGCUGCAAUCCCCUUUGGUACUAUGGUUGUUGUCUUUGUUAUAUGGGCCUUUAUCUCUUUCCCUCUAGCACUUCUUGGUACAGUUGUUGGAAGAAACUGGAGUGGUGCUCCAAAUAAUCCAUGUCGUGUGAAGACCAUUCCUCGUCCCAUUCCUGAGAAAAAGUGGUACCUCACACCAUCUGUAGUUUCUCUGAUGGGAGGACUGCUUCCCUUUGGCAGCAUAUUCAUCGAGAUGUAUUUUGUAUUCACUUCCUUCUGGAAUUACAAGGUGAAUUAAAAUGCAAUUACUUGUUUGGGCAGUGAGCAUUUUAUUUUCCCUUCCUUGGUUUGGCAUAAUGUUAUUUCUUUAGAACAAUAUUUCUAUAUGUUGUCUUUCAAGUGGUAACACUUAAUAUUCCUGUGAUAGUUGAGUAAAUACAAGCUUUGUUUCUUACGCGUUUUUCCCCUUCCACUUUGACAAACAGGUGUACUAUGUAUAUGGUUUCAUGCUACUGGUUUUUCUGAUUCUUAUCAUUGUUACUGUUUGUGUGACAAUUGUGGGGACAUACUUUUUGUUAAACGCUGAGAACUACCACUGGCAAUGGACCUCUUUCUUUUCAGCUGCCUCAACAGCUGUUUACGUGUAUUUGUACUCAGUAUACUACUACUUUGUGAAGACGAAGAUGUCAGGCUUCUUCCAAACCAGCUUUUAUUUUGGAUACACUUUGAUGUUUUGUCUUGGACUGGGAAUUCUCUGUGGUAAGUCUCCAGUUUAAUUGUAAUUUAUGUUUGGAUUGUGUGUUCACUCUUUGGAAACUAGAUAGCUUGGUUAUGUUCUGAAUACCUCUUAUUAUAUAGAUAUAAAAGCUAGUGUGUUCUUAUCGCCUGAGCUGGAUUAAAUUUUUUUCUCCAAAUGUGCAGGAGCUGUAGGUUAUCUUGGUUCGAAUUUAUUUGUGAGGAGGAUCUACAGAAACAUCAAGUGUGACUAAGGGUCCUAGAAGUCUGAGACCAGAGCACUUCCACAUGUUUGUUGCUAGACACAAUAAAUUUCUUCGAGGAGGUCUCUGGUCAUGUGUGGGGACCAAGCAGUGUUUACAGGUAGUAAGUAUCACAGGGUUGAGGAUGGGAUGUAUUCUUUCUCUAUAUUAGGGGAUGUAUUCUUUCUCUAUGGUAGGGAAGCCCUGAGAUUUUUUUCCCUGACUGUGAUUGAAAGCCUUGAUUAGUAGAAUGCAGGGAUUGGUCUUUAUAAUUUAGAUAGUUAGCAAAAUAUCAGACUCGUUGCUACUUCUUUUCGUCCUUCUAUAAAUAGGUGCCAUAUUGACGGACUGAUGUCGGAUUCCCCUACACGGUUUAGCUAUUGUACGUAGAGGGGAUGAAGUCACGGAAAUGAAUUUUGUGCUUCUGAAUUUUGUAUCAAAUAUGAAUAUCCUUUCUAACUAUUUCCUGCCUCCACAUUUCUCCUUCUUUGGCUUUUAAAUCAUUGACGUUUUCCCCCUCUCCAAUCCAAUGCUUGUUAGGCUGCAUACAUUUCUGCCUCUAUCACCAUGUUAACCAUGAAUAAAUGAGAUCAACAUUCUGUUCAGCAGCUGCAUACUCGCUUUGUUUUACUAAUUUUCUGUUUCUUUUAGAACUUGUGGUUGUAAAAUGCAGCACAGCAAGGGUAAAAAUAUUCAGUGCGACUGGAGUUUCAAAAUUGAGUAUGAAUGAAAUUGAUUUUGGAUUGAAAUUAUGUGUCUUUAGAUAUUUAAUUUUAAAAAUAAGUUAGUAGUAAAAAAUUAAUAUAUAUAUAUAUAUAUAUUUAUCCAAUGGAAAAGUUAUUUAAAGUUGUUUUCAACUCAAUGUGGUUUCACCUAAUUUAGCGUGAAUUAGAAAAUACUCGAUGGCUUGUGUAUUCAAAUUCAAAUGUGUUAGAUUUCUCUCUCUUUCUAAAUACAAAUUUUAAUAGUUAUAUGGAAAAGAGAAUUUUAAGUUUAAAUCAAUUUUAUAAAAUCUAUCGGUGAGGUUUGCAAUCACUCAUAUACUAUGAAAUGUUCUAAUUUAUAGUUGAGAUGAGAUCUCCGAGAUAUUCUCCUUACGUCGAGAGUUGAGGUUUGCAAUCACUCAUAUACUAUGAAAUGUUCUAAUUUAUAGUUGAGAUGAGAUCUCCGAGAUAUUCUCCUUACGUCGAGAGUGACAACUCGUGGUCCAACAAACUUUUGUUAUAAUAGAUUCAAAAUGAACAAACUUUUGUUAUAAUAGAUUCAAAAUGAUUUUGAUACCAUAUUAAGAAGUAAAUUUUUAAGUAUAAUUCAAUUUUAUAAAAUUAACAUAUGAAGUGAGAUUUACACCCACUUUUUUUUUGUUUUGCACUUUUUAUAUACUAUGAAAUGUUUUAAUAUUUAGGAUGUGAGAUGUCUAAGCAUAAUAGCCAACAUUAGUGGUUAAGUAGCAUUGCAAGCAAUUUUGUGGUCAUUCCUUGGCCCGUAAAAGUGAACAUAAAGCAAAACAUUCAUUGAAAAGAUAGAAAAGUAUAAUUUGUGAGGUGAGGAUAAUGGCAACUACCAUCGUCAACAACGAGUGGUGGUGAUAAAGAUAAGAUAGAUUGAGGCAUGAAACAGAGCCACGUGGCCGAUAGGUAGCAUAUCAGCUAACGUUGGUGCUCGUUGCAGCCACACUAUUUCCACAAGCUCUCUCCUUCUUUCUUUUUAUCAUCAAGAACAAGCACCAUCACAAGUUCCUAAACUAGCCUUCUACUCAUCAACUCAACCAAGGACAUGGCAUCCAUCAUACCCGCUUCCUGUGGCUCUGUGUUGAACACCUCCUUCCUCAGGAAGCAGCCUCUGAACCACACAAGCCUCAAGGCAUUCUCCAACGCCAACGCCGUCUUUGGUGUGAAAGGAGGACGUGGAGGCCGUGUGACAGCCAUGGCGAGCUACAAGGUGAAGCUUGUGACCCCAAGUGGAGAGCAAGAGUUCAGUUGCCCAGAUGAUGCAUACAUUCUUGAUGCUGCAGAGGAAGAAGGCAUUGACCUUCCUUACUCAUGCAGGGCUGGUUCUUGCUCUUCAUGUGCUGGCAAAGUUGUGGGUGGCCAAGUGGACCAGUCUGAUGGUAACUUCCUUGAUGACGACCAAAUUGAGCAAGGCUUUGUUCUCACCUGCGUUGCUUAUCCCACUUCUGAUGUUGUUAUUGUCACUCACAAGGAGGAGGAGCUCGUUGCUUAAAUCUUGUCAUCACUUUCCUUUCCCACUUCUGAUGAUGUAUGCUGCUUUUUCUUUUUAUGUCUUGUGCCAUUUCUCAGGAUAUACACACCCAUUAUUAUUAUUAUGCAGUAAUUGAUUACUUCACCUGUAGCAGCAGCUGAACUUGUUUUUGUCACUAUAAUAAUCUUUUCUUUACAGUUUUUGCACUCCUUUCCUCUUUCCUCGGCUUCAAUAAUUGAUUACCCUUUUAUGCAUUACAUAUAUACUAUCUAAAUUUGUGUGCUUUCUGCAUUGAUUUUCAUCCUUCUGUCACAUUGGAGUUAACAAUGAUGAGGGUAACUUGCAUCUUACCAAGAAAUAUUGAUGUUAGACUCAAAAAAAACCCACACAAGACUAAAAAAAAACACUAAAUGAUAAUUAGAACAAGUUUUUAGUUUCUUUUUAGUAUUUGUGUGAGUUUUUUUUUUUGAGAGGUUAACAUCAAUCAACGACGGUGGCUUCUUGUUCUUAACUUGGUACUGAAGAUGGUGUUAAUGUCCUGAGACUAAUUGUAUGGCCAACUUUUUUUUACUUUUGUAUCACUUAAAAGAGAUAACAUAUUUAAUUGUAUCUACAGUACAAGGUACAUUUUUCAUUCUCAACUACUUUGUGUCGGUGCCAAAACAUUGAUUUAAGAAUGAUUUCUAUAUCUAUGCCAUGAAGAGUAGUAAAACUUCAAAUAUGAAACAUAAAUGGAUGAUGUCUUCUGUAGCACAUACUUAUGCUUCUCUCCUUCGCCAUUGAAGGACAGUUUUGGGGGAGAGUGAUUGUAUUCGUCUGUAAGUCUUGAGUCAAUAUUUAACAAAGAAAUUGAGAUGAAAAUUCUGGCAAUGCUAAAAUAUCUGUUGGGUAUGGAUUCAAACCUUAAUUAGGAGCAUUGCUUCUGUGAGAAUUCUGCUGUGAACAUGGAGAUGUUACAAAAUUUAUGACCACAAAUUGGAGCUUGUCAUUCUAUCCUUCUUAACAUUUCAAAGGGUGUGGUUGACAAUGCUAUGAUUCAAUGUUUCGAUAUGGUUAUGGAUUACUUCCAAGUCAUACUCUGUUUUUUUCUCUUAUUCAGACUGGUGUCUUGACUCUUUGGUUUGUAUGAGAUUGAUUAAUUGAUGAAUUACUAUGUUGAGGUUUGUCAUGUGUUCUAUGAGUUGUUAGUUGGAGGUUUUUUGGUGUCUUGUUUUGAGAAAGGUUAAGGUUUAUUUUUCUUUAUAAAGAUUGAACUAUCCUGAAAUAGAGAUGUUAAUGUUUAUUUUUCUGUAUAAAAGUUGAACCAUUUGAAUAGUUCAUAUUUAUUUUCUUGUCGAUAAAAAAAAAUAGCAGUUAAAUACUAUACCAAAGUUUUACACAUGAAUAUACACCAAUAAAAAAAAUAAACAGUUUUUCAUUGGUCAAUUAACAAAUUAAAUAAUUAUAAAAAACAAAGGACUGCGUAAAAUGAAAUUCAACCAUGCAAUUCUGAGUGGAAGUUUUGACUGAAUAAUUCGAAAAAACUAGCAUUUUUCAAUUUAUAACCACGGUUGCAUCUCAUGUAAUAGUAAUAUUCAUAAGCAAAAGAAAUAGAAGUGCAUAACCUACUCUCUGAGAGGGCCUGGAGAGGGUGCUCUUGGAACAAAGUUUUGUAACUAUUGAAGAGCCAUUGAAAUAUGCUACUGUUCUGACCUCAAGUCAGUUGGACAGCAUCGCUAGGGUCAAUCACCGCAUCCGAGGUAUUGUCCGCUUUGAAGGUUGGUGCUCCGUCACGGUUUUGUCCUUAAAAGAUGUCUCAAAGGGUGAAGGGAGGAGGGAGUAUAUAAACUGCCCUUGACCUCGAUUCCUGAGCGAUGUAAGAUUGUAUUGGCAGCCUCGAUUGUGAAGAAUCUGUGGAGAUAACAUAGGCACACAGAAUGAAACAUGGUACAAAAUGUUUAGAUGUUCUUUUUAAGAGGAGAUCUAGUCACAACAAUGAUGGUAAAUGUUGAGUUCAUUAAAUAUAUAACAGUUUUGCAAAGAAAAGAAGGUAGCAUGUGAAGUGAAGAAGAUGAAGAAUGUUACAAAAAUGUAUGGUGAAGGGAAGAUGAAUAGACUUGGUAGCAUUCAACCUCCACAUCUUAUUGCACUUUCAAUGCAUUCAAUUACUUCCUCUACCAUAAAUCCAAUUUCAGUAUAAAAAGAUGAAAAUGUUUUUAGAUAAAAUGAAGGUAAUUAUAAAAAUACAUUUAAGAUUUACUUUUUUGGACAAAUAUCUGGAAUGAAAUUUUGAUUUUAUUUUCGAAUUUUUAUUUCUAGAACACAAUAACCUCUUCUAGAUCUAUUUUUUAAAAUAUAUUGUUUUCAAUUCUAGAUUUUUAUUUCGAGAAUGAAGGACAUUUUAAAAAAUUUAAAAUUGUGUAGGGUGCAAAUUUAAAAUGAUUGAGUGUAUGAAGAAUUUGUCUUUAUCAUAGUUCCCACUAUGUUAACCAACACAAUUGCUUGCUGAAAAUUUUCCUCACUUCGUUUUCUUUACAUUUCGACCUUAUGCAGCCUCAAACGUUAAUUUCAAAAGAAAAAUGAUAGUUUGACAACUCUUAAAGUUGUAUACAACUCUUGAUGUGAUAGGUUUAGAAAUAAAUAUAUAUAAUAAAGGAUAAAUUUAUAAUUAAAUGAUAUAAAAAAGUAUUAAAAAUAAUAGUAUUGGAAGUUGUAAUGUGGUUGUAUAAAAAUUUGAAGUUGUUAAUGUAUCAUUACCCAUUUCAAGAAUACAACUUAAACUCAAAAUUACAAAUAAUGGCAUUACAUUAUGCACCCCAUAGUUUCCCAUAAUUUGAAGGUGCAACCAUGGGCAAGAUAAAAAGACAAAAGUAUCCCUACUUUGGAUUUAUAAAAUGCAUAUUAUACACUCUACAAUUCGAAAUGCAUUUUCAAAUUUGGAAAUAUAUUUCUGAAUUUUGCAUUGUUGAAUGUAUUUUUAGAUUCAAAAAUAUAUUUUUGAUAAUUCAAAAUGCAUAUUUUAUUUUGUAUUAUGAAAUACAUUAAUACUAAAAAUAAGGGAAGUUUGAAAAUUUAAAAUCUAUGGAGGUGUAUGCUAAAAUUAUGGGUUAGCCUACAAAUAAUGGGCCAUUGGAUCCGGGUUGCUUCUUCCUGCACCUCCAUACCUUCUUCUCUCACCUCCAUAGAUUUUCGUAUUUCCAAAACUGCUCUUCUGUAAUAUUUCGGAUUACAUAAUUCGGAAGUUAUUUUUCAAAUUUGUAAUUAGCUUUCGGAUUAUAUAAUCUGAAAGUCUUUUUUCAGAUGCAUGAUUACUUUCCGGAUUACAUAAUCUGGAAGUUUUUUUUAACUUCUGGAUUAUGUAAUCCAGAAGUCUUUUUUCAAAUGUGUUUCCGGAUUACAUAAUCCAGAAGUUAUUUUAUGGGGGUGGCACAAGAAGGAUAAAAAUGUAUUUUUCAUGUUGUGUAUGGAGGUGCCAGAAGAAGAUAUGGAGGUGCAGGAAGAAACAGUCUUGGAUCCGAGUCAAACUUUUUAUCUAUACUUUAUUAUAAGGGCUUUUUCUUCUUACACUUCUUAAUUAAUAAUUGCAUCUCAUACUAUGACAAAAAGGCCAAAAUACCCUCCAUUGCUCCACCAUGUCGUCGUCGUUGCAGCUCUAUCUACACUUCCAUGACGAGUUUUUAAUAUCUUUUAGAUUAAAAAUAAUAUAUGAUUUAUAUUCAUUACCACUUGCAUUAAUUUAUAUGUAAGAUUAAUGUUAACUUAAAUAAAUAUUAAAAAGAUAUUAUAUUAAUAUUAAUAAUUACGAAAUUUAAAAAUUAGAACGUAUUUAAUAUUAUUAGUGUUGGUUAAGUUAACUUUAAUGUCUUUCUUUAAAAUAUUAUUAUUACUAAAAAAAUAUAUUUAAUAUUAUUAGAGUCGAUCUUAAUAUUUUUUUAACAUAUUUUUCAUUACUAAAAUAUAUUUGAUAUUAUUAUAGUCGGUUAUCUUUAUUUUAGUAUUAAAAUAUAUUUAGUAUUAUUAGUAAAUUGUCUGUGUUUACCAAGUAUUAACAAAAGUAUGAAAUAUAAAAAAAAAAUGCGAUAUAUAAUUAAAAGAAUAUUUACAGGUUUUUAUUGUUAAUUAAAAAUCAAAACCUUCUUAAAUCACUUCCCAACAAGAGAUCUUACAAAGGACUGUUUCUUCCUGCACCUCCAUGCCUUCUUCUCUCACCUCCAUAUAUUUUCAAAUUUCCAAAAAUGCCCUUCUAUACUAUUUUGAAUUACGUAAUCCGGAAGUCAUUUUUUAAAUUUGUAAUUAGUUUCUGGAUUACAUAAUCUAGAAGUCUUUUUUCAUAUGCAUGAUUAAUUUUCGAAUUACAUAAUCCGAAAGUCUUAUUUAGCUUCCAGAUUAUAUAAUCUGGAAGUUUUUUUUCAAAUGAAUUUCUGGAUUACAUAAUCCGAAAACUACUAUAUGGGGGUGACAUAAGAAGAAUAAAAAUAUAUUUUCAUGUUAUGUAUGGAAGUGGCAGAAGAAAAGAAGAUAUGGAGGUGAGAAACAGUCCUUACAAAGACUUUCAACACACUCUAUUCCAAUUACAUAUGCACCGUACACGUGGCGCUACUUUCACAACAGUCACAGAUGAAUGUGUAAGAAAUAUCUUGCACAGGAUAAAUCUUAACCACUCAUCAUAGUCUCCUCUUAUUAAAACGUGUUACAUGUGUUUUUAUUAAGGAAAAUGAUUGCUUAACACUCACUUCAUCUAAUCCCACUAAAUAUUAAUAUUUUAAUUUUUUUAAUUUUUUAAUUUUAAUUUUUUUUAACAUUUUAUAUUUUUAUUAAAGACAUUCCUUUAUUUUUAUAAUUUAUUUUAUUAUAAAUAUUAAUAUUUUAUUGCAGUGGAAAUUGGAGUAAGGUGUCUACGAAUAAUACGGAGACACGUGGCAGAUAAGGUUGUACGUGACUUCACAUCAUUUUGUGAUCAGACAAUGCUAGUUCAAAAAGCUCCUUGGUUUGGCUUAUCUAUAAAACAGAAGAAGAAGAAGAAGAAGCAGCAGAAGAAGAAGAAGAAGAAGAAGAAGAGGAGGAGAAUGGCGUGUAUGACAGUAGCUAUGUGUGGCCCUGCCUUGAACACCUCCUUCCUUAGGAGACAUGCAGUGAGUCUGAAUGCAUUCCCCAAGGCCAAUGCAGUGUUUGGUGUGAAAGGAGGAGGUGGAGGUCGUGUCACUGCCAUGGCUAAACACAAGGUGAAGCUUAUCACCCCAGAGGGUGAAAAAACCUUUGUCUGCUCAGAUGAAACCUUCAUUCUUGAUGCUGCAGAAGAAGUAGGCCUUGACCUUCCCUACUCAUGCAGGGCUGGUGCCUGCUCUUCCUGUCUUGGCAAAGUUGUGAAUGGCCAAGUGGACCAGUCAGAGGGUAGCUACCUAGAUGACGAUCAAAUCGAUCAAGGAUAUGUUCUUACAUGUAUUGCUUACCCCACCUCUGAUGUUGUUAUCCAGACCCACAAGGAGGACGAACUCGUUGGAUAAAUCUCCCUUUCCCACCAUUUUCUUAGAAUAUGCUUCUUUUGUUUCAAAUGUGAUGGAGGAGGAAGAUUGUUAUUGCAUGAUCAAGGUAUUUUAGUUUUGUUUUAUGCUGUUAGUUAGACUAUAGAGAAUGAACUCCACCUUCAGAAUCUCAUCAAACUUUUUAUUAUGUGUUGGUUAUUGGUUCAGGGAAUUUGUAGUCACUGUAGUAAUGUUUUCCUUGUUGGUUGAGUUAAGAACUCUGAUGUUAGUUGCUUGUUCUGAAUUCAUGCUGAUCUUAAUGGUGACUUUGAUUCUUAUCUGCACCAUUUUAGAUCUUUUGGGUUGUUGGAAGCUAAGAGUCAUGCACAAUGGAGGGUCUAACUACACCUAAAAUUCAUAUAAGAUUAGAAAAUAAGUUAGUUUACAAACUCAAAUUCUACUCUGAUUCUGAGAAGAGUUUCUGAGGCAUUAUAUGAUAUAAAACAUUACAAUUGAUUUCUCUGUCUGAAUAAAAGAAAUUAUUUGAUAGUAAACAAAUAGGAUUAAACUGUAUUAACUUUAAGUUUAAUUCAACUUCAUAAAAUCGAUUUAUGAGGUGAGAUUUUAUAAGGUGAGGUAUCGAAAAUGAUUAUGAUACUAUAUUAAAGAGUGGACAUUAAAGAGCGAACUUCAAGCUUAACUCAACUUUUCGCUUCCACUUAUAAAGAAUGAAAUGUACUGUUGUUGGAGAUCUCUACUUGAAGAUGCUGGCUUAUGGUUUGAAGCCAUUUCUCUGAUGUAGUUAAAGAAAUUUAGUAUAAGGUAAUAAGAUAGAAGAAGAAAGCUAGGAUUGUCACACUUCAUUCAUUCAUCAAACACAGGAGAUGGAAAUGAGUUUUUAGAUUGAGUUGUCUCCUUUUAAGAAAGAUGUUUUCAUUUUGCAGUAAAAAUGUCCCACAAAUUUUUCAAGAAUUUUACACAAGGACUACUGUGUGAUCAAUACAAAGAAACAGUUUUUAUGGGCUAAUUACUGAAUCAAACAUGGUACAAAAUGUUUAGAUGUUCUUUUUAAGAGGAGAUCUAGUGGCAACAAUGAUGGUGAAUAUUGAGUUCAUUAAAUAUAUAACAGUUUUGCAAAGAAAAGAAAGUAGCAUGUGAAGUGAAGAAGAUGAAUGCUACAUAAAUGUAUGGUGAAGGGAAAGAUGAAUAGGCUUGGUAGCAUUCAACCUCCACAUGUUAUUGCACUUUAUUGGAUGAAUCUUUUGCAUUCAAUCCAUUAAUUGCAGGCAAUUACUUCCUCCAACUAAUUUCAGUAUGAAAAGACGAAAAUAUUCUUAGAUAAAAUGAAGGUAUAUAUAAAAAUACAUUUCGGAUUCACUUUUUUAGAAAGAACAAAUUUUUUGUAUUAGGGAUUUUUUUUAUCUGUAACGAAAUUUUGAUUUUAUAUUUUCGGAUUUUAUUUUUGGAGCACAAUAAUCUUUUCUGGAUUAUUUUUUCAGAAUACAUCGUUUUUAAUUCUGGAAUUUUAUUUUCAGAACAAAGGAUAUUUUCAAAAUUUUAAAUUUGUAUAGGGUAUAAGUUAAAAAUGAUUGAGUGUAUGAAGAAUUGGGCUUAAUUGUAUCACAGUUCCCACUAUGUUAACCAACACAAUUGCUUGCUGAAAAUUGUAUCAUAGUUUGAACACAAUUCACAAUUCCAAAUCCUAAAUCCUAAACCAACACAAUUCACAAUUCUAAAUGUAUUUUCAAAUUUGGAAAUAUAUUCUGAAUUAUACAAAAUAAAAUAAAAUAGAUUAAUGUAUUAUGAAUUAUGCAAUUGAAUGUAUUUCUAGAUUCAAAAAUAUAUUUUAAGAAUUCAAAAUGCAUAUUUUAUUUGGUAUUAUGAAAUACAUUCUAGAAUACUAAAAAUAAACAUCCUAAACUAUGGAGGUGCAGGCUAAAAUUACGGGUUAGCCUAUAAAUAAAUAAUGGGCCAUUGGAUCCAAGUCAAAAUUUUAUUUAUACUUUAUUAUAAGGGCUUUUUCUUCUUACACUUCUUAAUUAAUAAUUGCAUCCCAUACUAAGACAAAAAAGGGAGAUAAUUAUUUCAGAAAACUCGUCAUGAAAAUUAUUAUAUAUGUUUUCGAAAUCUUUGUUCCAUAAAUCCUGUUACAGGAUGUUCGGGAAAGUUUAUUUUUGGAAAAAGUUUAUUCCAAAAUACAUUUUAUAUACUAUUAUGAAUGUGAAUAUUUAUUGUUUAAAUCAUAAGGUUUUAGAUUAAAAAUAAUAUAUGAUUUAUAUUCAUUAUUACUUGCAUUAAUUUAUAUGUAAGAUUAAUAUUAACUUAAACAAAUAUUAAAAAUAUAUUAUAUUAACAUUAGGGAUUACGAAAUUUAAAAAUUAAAACAUAUUUAAUAUUAUUAUAAUUGGUUAAGUUAACUUUAAUAUUUUUCUUUAAAAUAUUAUUAUUAUUAAAAAUAUAUUUGAUAUUAUUAUAGUCGGGUCAAGUAUAAUAUCUUUAUUUUAGUAUUAAAAUAUAUUUAAUAUUAUUAGUAAAUUGUUUGUGUUUAACAAGUAUUAAAAAAAAUAUAAAAUAUAAAAAAAUGCGAUAUUAAAUAACGUGUUACAGACGUAUUACACACCGAUACUCUCGUAGGAUGUCUCUCAUUCAAGUGUCAAAUUCAAAAAAUAUUUGUUGAAUUUCUAACAAUUCUAGCAUGAUUUUAACACAAUUUUUUUAAAAAUAUAAUUUUUUAAAAAUUUAAACUUAUUAUAUAAAUUUUUAUUGUAAUUAUAAAAAUAAAAACCAAAUACUUUUGAAUGAGCUAUGAAAAAAACAUGUUUUUUUAAAAUAAAAAUAAAAAUAAUUGUACAUAUAAAUAUUUAUUAAUAAAUAGGUUAUCGAGGUUUCAUUCUUAGAUGGUAACACCUUAAAUAUGUUGCAAAUAAUGAAAUUUGACAAGUUAUAAUUUUGUAAAUAAGAAAUAAAUUAAAAAAGAAAAUUAAAUUUAUAAUAAAUCUUACACACACAAAAAAUAGUGAAUAUAAUGAGAGAUAGAAUGAUGCCACGUGGCAGAUAGGGUUGCAUGUGGCCUUACCUCAUGCACGUUAUAAGCACACUAUUUCUUCAAGCUCAUGCUCCCAUUUGUUAUCCAUCACCAACAACAACAACAACAAGCUUGCAGUGACCAAUGGCUUCGAUCACACCCGCUUCCUGUGGCUCUGUGUUGAACACCUCCUUCCUCAGGAAGCAGCCUCUGAACCACACAAGCCUCAAGGCAUUCUCCAAUGCUAAUGCUGUCUUUGGUGUGAAAGGAGGACGUGGAGGUCGUGUGACAGCCAUGGCCAGCUACAAGGUGAAGCUUGUGACCCCAAGUGGAGAGCAAGAGUUCAGUUGCCCAGAUGAUGCAUACAUUCUUGAUGCUGCAGAGGAAGAAGGCAUUGACCUUCCUUACUCAUGCAGGGCUGGUUCUUGCUCUUCAUGUGCUGGCAAAGUUGUGGGUGGCCAAGUGGACCAGUCUGAUGGUAACUUCCUUGAUGACGACCAAAUUGAACAAGGCUUUGUUCUCACCUGUGUUGCUUAUCCCACUUCUGAUGUUGUUAUUGUCACCCACAAGGAGGAGGAGCUCGUUGCUUAAAUCUUAUCAUCACUUUUGUUAUUAACAUUCUAUUCUUCUGGUUUUUCUUUGACGAGUGUAAGAAAUUUAUACGUUUGUGUUAGCUGUAUAU
rnacentral:lncRNA from 1 species